CAGUUUUGUCCACGGCCUUAUUGCUGUGAAAUUGGAAGGUGGGUGGGUAAAGUAAGCUUUGCCAAGAAAGCCGGAAGCUAAUCAGGUCUCACAGGCAGCUUUAUGCUAGGCCUAGCGGUGUUGGCCGAGGAGGGGAAAGUGGAAUAGAGGAAGGAAAGUGCGUCAUAGGAUUCUGGGCCUGUCAGUUGUUUUUUUUUUUUUUUUUUCCUUUUCCCCAGACGUGUAGCCGGUGUUUGCCGCGGAAGUGGAAGAAGAGCAAGGGAAGGAAAGUGCAUCAUUAGGAUUCGGGGCCUUUCAGUUUUGUGCUAGAGCUAGCCGGUGUUGGCCGAGGAGGGGAAAGGGGAGCAGAGGAAGGAAAGUGCGUCAUAGGAUUCUGGGCCUGUCAGUUUUUUUCCCCAGACGUGUAGCCUGUGUUGGCCGCGGAAGUGGAAGAAGAGCAAUGGAAGGAAAGUGCGUCAUAGAAUUCGGGAACAGUUUUUUUUUUUUUUUUUAAACCCAGACUUAGCCGUUGUUGGCCGCGGAGGGGAAAGGAGAGCAAGCGAAAGAAAAUGCGUCAUAGGAUCCGGGGUCUGUCAGAUCCCAGAAAUAGCUUUAUUCCAGGCCUAUUUAAUAUUCAUUGCGGAGGUAAAAGGAAGGAAAGAAAAUUCUUUGGAGACUCCGAGGCCUCUCAAAUCCUAAGAGGCAGCUUUAGUCUAGGUCUAUUUUAAUGUUCGUUGCGGACUUGGAAGGUGGCGGAGCGGGGGGUUGGGGGAGGGAGGAGGAAGGAGGGAGGGAAGAGAGGAAGAAAAUGCGUCAUAGAAUCCUGAGCCUGUCAAGUCCUUCAGGUAGCUUUGUUCUAGUCCUUGACAGUGUUUGCUGCGAAGGUGGAAGGAGGGAGGGGAAAGAAUUUACGUCAGAGAAUCCAGAAUCAAUCAUGUUUCAGAGACAGUUUUGUCCUCGCCCUAGCCAGUGUUUGCCGCAGAGGGGGAGGGAGAGGGGGAAGAGUGGCAGCUUUAUUCUAAACCUUGUCUGUGUUUGCAGCGAAGUUGCGAAAGGGUGAAGGAAGUUACGUCAUAGAAUCCGGGGCCAAUCUGAACGCGGGAGGGGCAGAGUCUUCAGCCUAUACAGUAUUUGUUGCGGAGCUUGGAGAGGGGGGCGGGGAAAUUAUGUCAUAGAAUCCAAGACCAAUCAGGUCGUAGGAGCCUCCGAGUCCUUGGCCUAUCUCCUAUAUUACCUGCAAAGGUGGAAGAGAGCUAACGGGGAAGGUGAGGCCGAGACAAAAGCCAAUCAGAACCUAGAGUCAGUUUUGUCGUCUUUGAGCACAGGGGGUGAUGCUCUGAAUUAAAACUCAGUUCCAGAACCACACAGCCAAAGAGGAAAGAUGAAAAUGCACUGUCAUAUGUUGGGGGGAAAAAAAGGUAAUUAUUUGCAUGGCCCUGAUCAGGUAAGAUUUAAUUAAUAAUUAAUUUCUGUUUAUUGGGGGGGAGGGUCAUAUUAAAGUAUAUAUGAGGUUUAAAAGAAAUAUCAUUUGUGCUUUUAGCAAUCUAAAGGGAUUACUAAGAAAAAUAUAUAGUGCUAUAAAAUAAAAAUAAAUAGAUUAAAAAGUACAAACAUCCUAGCAAAUUAAAGUUGAGUGGGACCUCUGACAAAUCCUUAGAACAUAGCAUAUCAGAGCUGGAAGGUGUUUUUUGAGUAGUGAAUGUUAGAGUGUGAAGAGAAAAAUUUAGAAUAUAGUAUUUCAGAGCUGAAAAGGCAAUUGAGGCUCUUAAAAUGUCAGAAUUGGGAAUGAACAUAGAAACCAGAAUACAAGAUCCAGUUGGACUCUUAUAACCUAAAAUUUCUGAGGUGGUAGAUGUUUAGAAUCUAGAGUGUCAGCCCUGAAAGGAUCUUGAGAACAAGAAGAAUUGGAAAUAGGAAGAAAAUUAAAACUCAGAAAGUAGGAGAUCAUAACUGAGAAGCCAGGAUGACAGAGCUGGUGGGACCUUCAAAUAUCAAUGAAUGUCAGAACUAAGGGUGUCCUUCAAACCAUUUAAUAUCAGAGCUUUAAAUAAGUCAGAAGGACCUUCGGGAUACACAGUAUAAUUUUGCUUAGCAAGUUAUUGAAAGGGAUAGGUUCCUUUAAAAAUACUAAUGUACAUUUUUUGAUAUGCAAAAUUUAUUUCACUUAGUUAUACCAGCCCAGUUUUGAUAUUCUGAAUUCAAAGGCAGCUCUUAAACUUGAAGAAAGGUGUAUAAAAGUCUAGUGCUUUCUCUAAAUACCAAAAAAAAAAAAAUUUCCCUAGCUUAGCCUUGAUCAGUUAACACUUUUAAUGAUAUUAAUGCUAUUGAUAAUGAAUUGUUUAUAUUUAUUUUAAAAUAUAAAGAAUUAAUGUUUGAAAGGGUCAUCAUUUGUGCUGGAUUGUUAAGAAAAAUCUACACUGUCAUAGAAAAGAAAAAAAAACAGAGCUUGGUGAGGCUUUUAAACAUAGAAUUUGAAGAAUGGAAGUACCUUUCAGAGUAAAACAGUGCAGGUGAGAAAACGCUUUACAAUAGAAAAUCUCAGAGUUGGGCUAAAUUGAGAGUGAAUAGAAGCCAGAAUAUUAGACUUGGGAGGGGACUUAGAACAUGGAAUAUACAUGUUCCUUCUGUAGUUGGGAGAUAUCUUGGCAUCUAAAAUGACUAAGCUGAAAGGGGUUCUAGACAAGGGAAUGUCAGAAGUAGGUAUGACUUUAUGUUACAGAAAGUAGGGAGAUGGUCAUAGUUUAAUUACAAAAAUUAUCAGAGCCAGUGGGACUAUAGAACAUAAAAUUUCUGACCUAGGAGACAUCAAUUUAGAGGAACCUUAUAAGAAAGGAAGGGGAAGCUAAUCAGAGAAUCAUCAGAACUAUCAGAGCCCAUAACCCAUUAAGAGAUAGAAUGAUAGGCCUGGGGCUAGCCCUUGAGAGGAGAAUCUCAGAGGUGGUAGGACACUUAGAAUACACAGUAUCAUUAGCUGGACUAAAGAUUAUUUUAUUUGCUUCAUUGAGUGAAUUAUUGGAAAUGAUUAGUUAAUUUAAAAAAAGAAUUACAAAGCAUAUUUGUUGGGUGUGAUGUAACAUUUCAACAUAAUUUAUGUCAGUAUAGUUUUUAUGCUCUGAAUCAAAAGCCAGAUCUUGAAUCACAGAGAUUCAAGAGACCAAGAACAGUAAUAAAUACGGUUCUUUAUCUCACUGCCAAAAACAAUAAUUCCCUCUGUGACCUUGAUCAGAUAAGGCUACCAUUGAAGGAAAUAAAGAAUAAAAAUCUUCAAAAUUCAUAUUUUUAAAUCAUGAUAAUUCUAAGACACAUAUGCAUUGUGAUAAAAUCAAAAUGAAUAAAUAAAUAUCAAGGGUAAAAAAAAAAUCCCUAAUAGAUCCAAGCUGGGUAAAGUCCCAGGGAGGUUCUUUUGAAGGGCGCUGUAUGGGAAAAUAGUGGAAGAAUGCUUAGAAUACAAAAUUUUAGAACUGAGAAAAUAGUUGAGACACUGUCAAAAAUGUGAGUGACUAUAAAAAACAGAAUAUCAAACGUGACUCUAUUCUUGGAAAGUAGAAUUUUUGAGUCUGGAGGCAUCUUAGAAUCAAGGAUACUUGAUUUUAACUGAAAAGAUCUUGAGAACAGGAAAUAUCAGAAAUAGAAAGGAGCUAUAAAACUAAUCAAACAGAAGACAGUAAGAGCCUGAGAACCCAGAUUGAUAGAAUCUUAGAAAAAAUAUUAGAACAGUGAGAGGCCUUUGAACACAGAAAGUUGUAUCACAGACUAUUAGAGCAGGGAAGGCCCUUAUAACUGACUUGUCAGAGUUAAGAAGGUAUUGAGAACAGGAAAUAUAACUAGAAGAAAGGGUUUUAGUGUGGUGUUUAGUUUUGUUUUUGCUUUUUGCUUUUUACUGUGCUUACUGAGAGGCAAGGUGUUAGGAAUGACAGUACCAAAUGAUUUAUUUGGUAUGAGGUGAAAUAUUUAUUUCAUUAGAAUUUAUAGCAACAUAGUGAUAUUCUGAAUUAAAACAUGUUCCAAAUCAUGUAGCCAAAGGGCAGAAGUAACUUUCUUUGGCUUCCCAUCAAACCGAAAAUGAAUAAAUAAAAACAUAAUUCCAUGCGGUGACUUCACCUGGAAAAACUCCUAUUGCUUUUUUUUUUUAGAUUUUUAAGUACACAGGAUUUUAAAUCACUGUAUUGCUAAGACAUAUAUAAUUUAAUAAAAAUUAAAAUGAAUAUGUAAAUUAAAGGUAAAGAAGAAGCCUAGAAUAUUAAAAGAGUGAGGAGGGGCUUAAGACAACAAGGCUGAGAUUCUUUAGAUUCAGAACAUGAAAUAUCUCACUUGGAGAUAUGCCUCUUAAGAGAAUACACCAGAAAUUUGCUAUAGUUUAAAAUAACAAAUUUUGGAGAUGGGGUGACCUAAGAAUCACAGAAUGUCUGAGUGGGGAAGACUCUCAAAACAUAGAUUGUGAGGGCUGGGAAGGGCCUUCCAUUGCAUAAUAUCAUAGCAAGGAAGAAGCUUUUUAAAAUAUGUUCAUGGGUCAAUGUAUUGGGAAAGAAAGUGAGCAAAGGUGUUGGGUGGAAUAGGUAAAUAAAAAAAAAAACUGGUAACAAUGUAUAUUUAUACUAUUAACAUAUGUUUCAAUAUAAUUUAAUUCUGCACAAUUUUGACAUUCUGAAUUAAAAGUUAGGUCCUGAACUUCGUCGCCAAAGUGGAAAGGUGAACAUACAGUUGUAUUGUUUGGACCCCCCCCAAAAAAAACCAAAUUAUAAGCGUGGAUCAGGUAAGAUUGUUAUGGAUAUUAAUAUUGUGUGAUGCCGUUCAUAGAAUACUGGACCUGCAAUCAGGAAGACCUAAGCUCAAAUUUGACCUCAGACACUUACUUUGCUGUGUGACCCAGGACAUGAUUUGGUUGCAUUCUUUUGAAAAAUAUAAAUUGUUAAAUAUAUGAGAUUUUAUUAAAAAGGACAUCAUUUGUGUUUUUAAAUCACUGUAUUGCUUAAAUAUAUGCAAUGUAAUAAAGAUGAAAAAAUAAUGUAAAAAGAGAACUCUAUGUUAUCAGAGAAGGAACAGGAUCAUGAGGUUCUUUAGAAUAUGGAAUGUCUGACUUGGAGGUGCCUUUCAAGACAAUACACUGAAGGCUGGAUAUAACUUAGAAUGGUGGAUUUCAGAGGUGGAAAUGAUUUAAUCACAGAAUGUCAGAGUGAGGAGAGCCCUUAAAACUGAUUGUCAGAGCUGGGAAGACUGGGAAGAAGUUUUUUUGAUGUGUUCAGAGGACCCCAAGUAUUGGAAGGGACAGAUAAAUUUUUAAAGAUAAUAUGUGGUAUGUGUAUGAGAUAACAUUUAUUUUGAUAUAAUUUAUUUCUGCGUAAUUUUGAUGCUCUGAAUGAAAAGUCAGGUCCUGAACAACACUGCCAAAAUGGAAAGGCAAACAUAAUGCCUUAAUUGGAUACCAAAAAAAAUUCUAAGUAUGGAUCAGGUAAGAUUGCUCUGGAUGUUAAUGUUACAUACUGCAGUGUAUAGGGAGCUUGACCUGGAAUCAGGAAGGCUUAAAUUCAAAUGUGGCCUUAGACAAUUACUUGCUGUGUGACCCAGGACAUGAAUUAGUUUUAUUGAAUAAUGUAAAGUCUUAAGUUCACAAGACUUAAAAGGACACCACUUGUGCUUUAACAUCAUUGUAAACAUAUUCAAUAUCAUAAAAUAAAUAGGCAAAGGAGAAGAAAAGUAGUCCUAGAAGGUCGGAGUUUGGGUCAUAGUCCAGAAUACUGUGGAAGGAGUAAGGGACAGGUAGAAUUUUGAAGGUGAGAGAUAGUUUUAGCUAACAAUUUCACAGAUGGGAGUUUACGCUACAACCUAAUUUGCAUGAUCAAAUUGAGAUUGGACACAGAUGCUAGGAUAUCAAACCUAGGAAGGGACUAAAACAUGAUGGAACAUGAUGGAAGCAUCUUAGCAUCCAGAAACCUGGAAUAUCCCAGUUUGGAGGGAUUUUCUAACAUAGGAAGCCUGUAAGAUCUUAGGACAUAGAAUAUAUGAUCUGGAAAUAGCACUAAAGAGGAGAAUCUCAGUGCUGAAGGGGGACUUAAAACACACAGUCUCAAAAGGUUGAGUACAGUGGGUUUUUUAUUUGCUCAGUGCUAAAUCAUUGGGGGGGAAUGAUUAAUUUAGAAAGAACAACAACAAAGCUUAUUUAUGAUAUGUAUGUGAUCUAUCAUGCAUUUCAACAUAAUUUAAGUCAGCACAGUUUUGGUGCUCUGAAUAAAAGUCAGGGCUUGAACCACAGACACAAAGAAGAAUAGUAACAAUAUUUUGCUAUAUCUGGCUGCCAAAAAAAAGUAAUUCUCUAUAUGACCUUGUUCAGGUAAGAGUGCUAUUGAUACCAGUGUUACUGGAAAUGAAUUGGUUGAAUUUAUUGAAGGAAAUAAAGUUUUAAAUAUUCAAGAUUCAAAAAGGGACCCAAGUUGUGUUUUUAAAUUGUUACAUGGAAAGAACAAAAAGUCUUGAAGAUCAGAGUUGGGUGGAGCAGUGAAACUUAGACUGUUAGUGCAAGAAGGUCCUUAGAGCAUGGAAUGUCUGUACUAGAUGUGCCUUUUGAAGGGUGAAUGUUAGAGCAGAAGAGCAGUCUGGAUACUGAAUAUCAGAACUUUGGCCACAGAAGUCAAAAUAUCUGAACUGGGAGGGCACUUAGAAUAUAAAAGGUCUGAGCCUGGAAACCUCCUAUAAUUAAGAAACUGAAAGGAUCUUAAGAAGAGGGUAGAUUUUAAAGGUGGAAGGGAUCAUGCAGUAGGAAAUGAAGAGCAGGUGAGAAUCCAGAAUGUCAAAGCUAGUAGGACCUUAGAACAUGAAUCCCAUAGCUUGGUAGGCCCUUUCACAAAAGGAUACCAGAAUUAAGGAGGUCUUGAAACACGGGAUGACAAGGUUAGAGUGAGGCUCAAAAAUUAUUUCUGUGCACUGCUUUGAUUGGGUAAGAAUGAAAUUGAUAAUAAUGUUGUUGACAAUAAUUGGUUGUUUUUAUUGAAAACAUAAAGUAUGAAGUAAGCAGUAUUUAAAAGCACCACUGUUUGUGCUUUUAAAUCACUGUAUGGCCAAAGAACAUAUGCAGUGUCAAAAAAAAGGAAAAGAAAAACCCCUAAGAGGUCAGAGAGGCCUCAGAAUAUAGAAUGUCCAGUUUGGGAGGUUCUUAGAGAAUAUAAAAGCAUUUGACUAAAGUUAAAAUUUGAAAAUUCAGUUAUUUUAUUAGGCUAAAUAAAAAGGACUAGUUCAUGCAGUAUUUUAAUUACAUAAAGACUGCUGGUGUCAUUAAAAGGUGUUUGGUAAUGAAUAUAGAGUUUCUUCAAAAAGAUGUUAAUUGCACAAGAUCUAAAAGACAUUUUGUGUGCUUUUGAAUCAUAUUACUGAGAUCCAUGUGCAGCAUAGGUAUAAAAAAAGGAAAAAAAAUCUCCAACGUCAGAUCCAGAUGAGACCAAGGAUUAUUAAAACACAGAACGUGUGGAUGUCCUAGGUAUCUUUCAAGAGAGUAUCUUGGAAGUAGGAGAGUUUAGAAUACAGAGUUUCAGAGUUCGGACAGUCAAAACUGAGAAUUGACAUAGAAGAAUGACUAUCAGAUCUGGGAGGAAACUUAGAACACAGUGUUUGUGAGCAAAGCAACAUCUUAGAAUCAAGAAUGCCUAAGCUGGAUGGGUCUCUAGAACAUGGAAUAUCAGAUGUAGAAAGGACCUUAUAAUACAUAAAAGUGGGAGAUGUUCAGGACCAGAGAUAAAAUUGUCAAGCGCUUGGCAUAUCUUAGCACGCAAUGCCAAGUCUGGGAGUAAACACAAAAGAGAUCACAGAGGUAGGAGAACCCUUCCAAGACAGAACAUUAGAACUAGGAGUGGCCAUAAACCAGAAGGUUUCAGGGAUAGGAUUGCUCUUAAUGCUUAAAAUCCAGAGGUAAGUAGGAUCUUCAAAACAUACAAUAGCAAAGGUGAGAAGGCAUUAUGUUUUGUUUUGUUCUAAUCUCAUUGAACCAAGGUAUAGUCAGGUGGGUUUUUAAAAAAAGCAGUGAUAGAAUGAUAAGAAAUAUUGAUGUCAAUAAAAUUUAUAUCAGUAAAGAAUGAUGAUGUUCCAAAUUAAAAUUCAGGCCACAAAAUUAAAGGAGAAAAAUAUAAUGCCUUAGUUGUAUUCUUCCCCGCCCCUGCCAACACACACAUGAAAUGAUUCCACGCAAUGCCUUAACAGACUUAGAACACAAAUUAUCAAAGCUAGAAGAGGCCCUAAAAUGCUAUUAUAGCUGGGAACAACUUUUGUUUGUAUUACAUCAUCUAAGAUAAUUGGGAAGGAACAGGUUAAUUAAAAAUUAAUAAAGUCCAUUCUUGGCAUAGUAUACAACAUUUAUUUCAAUAUAAUUUAUAUCAGAAUAGUUAUAAUGUUUUGAAUUAAAAGAGGUUGGACCAUGCUAAAAGGAAAAAUAAAAUGAAAAGCCUUAUCUGGCUACCAGGGAAAAAUAGUGUCAUGUGGAUUCUUGAUUAGAUAAGACUGUUCUUGAGAGAAAUAGUUAUUUGUACUUAAUUGACUAUAUUUAUUGAAGAAAUAAAAUGUUAAGCAAGGGUGUAUUUAUGCAUGUUUAACAGUAGACUGGGGGGGGGGUUGACACAUGACACAUUUAAUCUGCUUUAAUAGCAUUUUUUUCUAUCACUUUAAAUCUAGACAAUAAACAAAAUAAAUGAAGCUUUAAUUUUUAGCUUUUAUCAGUUUCCAAGAUGUAAAUGAUUACAGUAAAGAUUUUAAUAUUAGGCUUUCACAAUCCAGGACAGGCUGGCUAGAGCAAAUCACUAUUAAGUACACAAAAUUUAAAAGGAACAUGCUUUUUUAUAUUACUGGAUGACUGUGAACCAUAUUUAAUGUCACAAAAUAAACAGAAAAUAUCCCAGCUUCAUGGGGCCUUAGAAGAUGAGAAUUGGGAGGUGUCUUUGAAGAAUAUAGAAUUUCAAAGGGGAACUUAGGAAUGUAUGAACUAGGAAGCAUCUUCUAGUACAGCAUGACUAAGUUGAAAUUGUCAGUAGAACAGGGAUUAUUAGAAGGUAGGAAGAUCUUCCUCUGGUUACAGAAAUUGUUAGAGCUUAUAGGACCUUAGGAGACAAUAGCAUAUCUAUUGUCUUUUAGCAACAAAAAUGGGCUGAUGGAACCCUUAACCCUAUGGUUUGGAGGCACCUUAUAACUCAGGAAAUGUGAGAUGGUCACUCUGAGAAUCUAAACUGUCAGAGCCCAUGAGACCUUUGAACAAAGAAUUUUUAAGCAAGGAAAAAACUCUGGAGAAGGGAGUGUCUCGGUGUUGAGGCCACAUUUAAAACAAGAGACAAUAAGUCUAAGGGAGCCCUCAGAACACAGAAUAUUAGAGAUUGGAAUAACUUUAAAAUCUCACAGUGUGAGAGCUGGGAGGGCUCUGGGGCAGAAUGGUUUUGUUUAAUUCAUAGACCAAAGUACUGGGUGGGGCAAGUUAUUUCUUUAAUAUUAAAUAUUUAAUAUAAUUUAUGUCAGCACUAUUGCACCAUCUUAAACUGAAUUACAAAUCUGAUCCUGAACCAUAAUGACAAAGGAAAAGGUGAUAUAUGCAGUCUUAACUGAAUACCCAAAGAAAACUAACUGCAGUGCCUUUUAACUGUAACACUGCCAUUAAUAGGCUUAUUAAUGAGUUGGCUGUAUUGAGGGAAAAAAAUUGAGUAUAAACAAGAUUCAAGGGGAGCUUCAUUUGUGUUUUAAAUAAUUGGAUUGUUAAAUUACAUGGAGUGUAAUAAAAUUUUUAAAUUUAAAGGGAAAAAUAAGAUUGGAGCAGAGACAAGUUUAUUGAAUACAGGGAGAAUGUUGAAGUGGGAGAGCACUUAGAAUAUAGACUUUCAUAUAUGUAAAAAUCCAGACAUUAAAUAGAACUAGGAAUGGGCAAAGAAGUCAGAAUCUCAGAAUCGGUAGAAUACAAUGUCCAAGGUAUCCUGGCAUCUAGAAUGCCUUAGUUGGAAGGAACUCCACCUCGAUGGUAGAAGUGUGGAGGUACCUUAAAGCUCAAAAAACAGAUGUUGAAAAAAGAGUAUCCAGAAUCUUGCUUUCAGUGGACCAAGUGGGACCUAGAAUUCAGAACAUCAGGUCUGGGCAUAGCUUUAAAUAGGUUAAUAUCAGAGCUGAGGAUACUUUGAGCAGGAGUUAACAUUUAAAGUAGCCUUAAAAGCACAGGUUGUCAAGAGUUAGGAAAGCCCUUAGAAUGUAGUCAGAGCUGAAAGGGACUUUAUAAGUCAGUGCCAUGGCUGAGAAGGAGUUAUGGGGUUUUUAAAUAUAUGAUAUAGAUAGGCUUAUUAGUAUAAUUUUUAUCAGCAUAGUUUUGAUGCUGAGUUAAAACUUGCGUUCUGUAAUCAUAUAAAGAGGAGAGGUAAAAAUAAAGAGCUUCAUUCAGACCAAACAAAAUUCUGUUUACUUCCUUGAUGAGGUAAGGCAGCUGUUGAUCUUUCAUUUUAUUAAUAAUAAAUUUGCCAUAUCUACUGGAAAAAAUACAAAAUUUAUCAGGGCUACCACUAUUUGUGCUUUUAAGUCAUUACAGCAUUAUUUUUUAAAAUGCAAAGAACAAAAGCUUCAUUUGGAAAAUGCUGGCUCUUAGGAGAAAAUAUUCAGAUCUAGAAUUGCAUUCCAGAAUGUGAGUGAGCCACCCGAUCCAGAAUAUCAGAAUUGAGAAUAUUUAGAACAGAAUUUAGCUGAGAGGCAUCGAGGAAUUAAGAUUGCAUGACCUGGAAGGAGCUGCUUUAGCAAUGUCAGUGGGAGAAAGAAUGCAAAAAACAAAGGUAGAAAAGGUUAUAAAUUGUCAAAAUGCUUUGGAUCUUAACCUACAGAAUGUUCAAAUCAGAAGUCCUCUGAAACAACUAUGUCUGAACUAAAUGGAGCCCUAGAUAGCAAAGAUCUUGUGAGAUGGGAGAUGAUCAGAAUUAAAGAAUAAAUUAUCAGUGGGUUCUGGGUAAAUGGAGUGUCAGUCCUGGGAAUAGCCAUCAAAAAUAGAAUGUCAAAGGGGCACUUAGAAUAGGACUGUCAGAACUAGGAGAGCCCUUCCUACCCAAUUUUUGGAACAGGAAUGAUCUUAAAACCUCAAUGACAGUACUAAGACUUUUAGCAUAUAUCCUGUUAUCUGGGAAGUUUUUAUAAAUUUGCUCAGUGUGCUAAAGUAUGAGUAUUAUAUAAUUUUUAAAGGCAGUAUCAUACCAGCAAGGUGGUGAUGGUCUGAAUUCAAACUUGGGUGUUGAGUCAGUCAGAAAAUGAAGUACCUUAAAUUCAUACUGUGCCUUGUUGCAAAACAGUAGUAGUAGGGACUGUCACUGAUAUGAAGGGACCCUUUAAUAUAGCCAAUGAAAGAUGGCCAGAGUUGCAAGGAAGGAAACAAAUUGUUUAUUUUUUCGACUUGCUUUGUGCCAGGUACUGUGCAAGUAUUUAAUUUGAUCUAAUGCUUUAUUUAGAUCAUAUUUCUAUACUAAUCUAAAUUGUCCCCAUGGGACUUUGGCAUACAAAGUAUUCCACUCAGGCAUAUUUCUAGAGAGAAGAAUGUCAAGAACUGGGGGGUCACUUAGAACAAGGGGAUAUCAUAGAUAGGAGAUCUUAAAAAACAGUCAGCUCUAGGGAUGACCUUAAAACCACAGAAUAUGAGCUGAAUAGGCUUUUAUAACUGCUGGGAGGAGCCUGAGAAUACAAUAUUGUGGAUGGGAAGAAGUCUUUAAAAAAUUUGCUUAAUGGGCGUAGGUAGGUGGCACAGUGGAUAGAGCACCAGCCCUAAAGUCAGGAGGACUUGAGUUUGGCCUCAGAUACUUAACAUUUCCUUUAUGUGUGACCCUGGGCAAGUCACUCAACCCCAAUUGCCUCAGCAAAAGAAAAAAAAAAAUUGCUCAGUGGUCUAAAGCAGGGGUCCUCAAACUACGGCCACGGGCCAGAUGUAGCAGUUGAGGAUGUUUAUCCUGACCCAGGGCUAUGAAAUUUUUUUAUUUAAAGGCCCACAAAACAGAGUUUUUGUUUUGACUAUAGUCUGGCCUUCCAACAGUCUGAGGGACAGUGAACUGGCCCCCUAUUUAAAAAAAUUGAGGACCCCUGGCCUAAAGUAUUGCAAGGAAUUGUUUAAUUUUGUGACGAUAAAGUCAAUGGUGUGAUAUACAACAUUUCAGUAUAAUUUAUAUUGGUACAAUAUUCAUGCUACAAAUUAACAAUAAAUAUGAACCACAUAAGAAAGGAAAAAUAAAAGUAGUGCUAGUUAGUUAGUGCUAAGUUAGGAUUUAAAAGGAACAUCAUUUGCACUUUUAAGAUAUUAUAUUACUAAGAUAUUUAUGAAAUACAAGAAAAUAAAUAAUUCCUAGAAGACCUGAGCAGGUUGGGUCAUGAGACAGAGAAUGGGAAAUGCCUUUCAAAGAAGAAAGUUGAAGUUGGGAGAAAGUUUAUUAUACAGUAUGUGCCAGCUAGAAGGGCACUUAGAAUAUGGGAUAUCAGAAUUCUUAGAAUGAAGACUGUCAGAAGUAGGAGUGACCUAAAAAGCAUGGAAUGCAAGAGAUGGGAAGGGUAUUAGAACUCAGAUGUUCUGAGCUGGGAACACAUUGUGGUAUCUCUGCAACAUUUAUUUUUACGGAAUUUAUAUCAGUGCACUGGAGAUUCUUUGAAUCAAAACUUAGGUCCUUAACCACACUGCUAGAAAGGAAAAGAAGGUGUGUGGUACCUUUUCUGGCUCAAAACAAGCUCCAAAAAAGCAAUUUCUAGGAAGUGUCCUAAUUUGGGAAAACUGCUAAUGAUAUUACUAUUAUAGGUAAUAAAGAAGCAGUAUUUAUUAGUUUUUUUAAAAAGGUUUUAACUACAUAGGAUAUUAAAACUAUUUUAAAUCAAUUUAUUGCUAAGAAAUAUUCAGUAUAAAAAUGAUAGAAAAAAAUAGCCUACUACGUCAGAGCAAGAUUAGAACGUAGAAAAUAAGAUUGUCAAAAUGGGGAGGGUCCUUAGAUUAUCAGAACUGAGACAACUAGAUAGAAUUAGGAAGACCUGAGUUCAAAUACAGCCUCACAAACUUCCUAGCUUUACAAUCCUGGGCAAAGUCAAUAUCUGCCUCAGUUUCCUCAGUUUGAUUAACGAUAGCAGCUACCUGAUAGGAGUGUUGUAAGGAUCAAAUGGAGUAAAAUGAGAUAUGUCAAGCCCUUAACAAAAUGACUGGCAUAUAAAAGAUACUUAACAAAACUUCCCUUAGAAUCAAGAAUGACUGAGCUGAAAGGAACCUUUCAAGGGAGAAUGAGUGUUGGAAGGAGGAAAGAACUUAAAAUGUAGAAUUUCAGAGCUGAGAUUCCCAUCCAAGCACCUCAGUGUUAGAAUAGGAAUGAAUAAAGAAGCCAGAAUAUCAGAUCUGGGAGGGUACUUAAAAUAGGGAAUAUUUGAGCGAGGAGUUGUUUUAGAAUCAAUAAGUUGUGUGAUUAGCUAGAUCCCUACAGAGGUAAGAAGGCAAUUGUAACAUGAUGUAUGAGCUAAUUAGAGCCUGAGAACACACACCUUGAGUCUGGGGAGCUUGGAUCAUGGAAUUUAAGUCUUAGAGUUAGCCAGAAAGAAGGGAAUGUCAGACUGAUAGGUGCUUAGAACUAGAGAUAUCAGAGCUAGGAGAGCUAGACCACAGAACGGCAGAGCUGGAAUGGACCUUAGAAUGUAGAUCUUUAAACUUGUGGGGUUCUUCAGAGCAGUGACACCAAAUGCAAAAAUUAAUUUCUGCUGGCCACAUACUGACUUAGUGACAUUUGAAUCUGAUUGUGGCUCUAUGCUCAGGAAUUUACUGCCUUGAGUUUGACAUUUCUAUUUUAGAACACUUUCCACAGCUAGAAAUGGAGAGUUUUUUCGUUGAUUUUUUUUUUUUGGGGGGGGGGUCAGUAAGUGAAAAUAAUGCAAUAGUCAGGUUAAUUUGUAAAAUAAUUGAAAUGUAUGUGAUGCUUUAUGCAACUAAAUGUUUCAGCAUCAUAUCAACACAAGAUUGAUGCUCUGAAUUAGGAUCAGGUAUUGAACCACAGAGCCAAAAAAAAAAAAAAAAGUGAAAAUAUACUGCUUUAUAUGGCAAAAACAAAACACCUUACAAAAAAUCAUGCAAUGCUUGGAUCCAAUAAGAUUUUCUAUCGAUAUUAUUAUUAUUGAUGUUGACAAAGGGGAGUAUUUAUUGGAAAAAUACAUAAGACAUAAAAGGAACAUCAUUUGCCUUUUAAAUUAUUAUUUUAUUAAACAAUGUUAAUGUGUUAUGAUAGAAUAAAAUCAAAUAAAAGAAAAAAUUCUGGCAGAGCAGAGCUGGAUAGGGUAUCGAAGCAUAAAAGACCAGGAUCUACUUAGCACAUAGGAUGCCUGGACAAAGAGGUGUUUUUCAACAGAAAAUGUUGGAUUUGGUAGAUGAUUUAAAAUACAGAAUUUCAGAGCUGGGAGUUCUUUCUGGGUAUUGAGUAUCAGAAAGAAAGUUUGAAGUAAAGUCAAAAUAUCAGAGUUGGUAGCUCCCUUAGAACAAGCUCUAUGUUGUCUUAAAAUAGAAUAAUUCUGAGCUGGAUGAGGUCCAGAAUACUAGAAUAUAGGAAGUGAAUGAAGCGAGAGAGGUCUUAGAAGAAAAUGGGAGAUAGACUGAGCUGAUAGAACUGUGGCACACAGAUUGAAGCCUGGAAGUGGGCAUUGGUAGGAAGAUUUUAGAGUGCUGAGAGUUAAAGAUUCUUAGAUUUGUGAAUGGCAUUAAAACAGACAAUACAGAUCUGAGAAAGGUUUUUUGUGGUUUUGGUUUUUUAAUGUAUUCAGUGAGUCAAGGUAUUGGGAAGCAUAAGUAAAUCUAAAAACCAAAAAGCAUAUUUUGAUUUGUUAUAUAAAAUUUCCAUAUUGAAAUUCCAUACUUGAUGAGGUAUUCUGUAUUAAAACUCAGAUCCUAAACAACCAAAUGAGAUUGGGGAAAAUGUAGUACAUUAUUUGACCUCCUCCUUCCCCCCCCCAAAAAAAAAAAAAAGAUGAAAAAAGUAAUUCUAUGGCAUGCCUUGAUCUGGCAAGAUAUUACUGUUAUUAUUAAGAAGCAACAGAUCUUUUUUGGGGAAAAAGUAGGUGUUAAGUACUUGGGUUUUAAUAAGACACCAGUUGUGCAUUUUUAAUAUUGUAUUGCUAAGAAACAUACAGUACACCAAAAUAAGUAUUAAGAAAUGAAAAGAAAAACUCCCUAGAAUGUCAAAGCCGAGUAGAUUCUAGAUGUCUAGGCUGGAAGAGCUUGUCAAAGGAAAAAGUUGAAGGUGGGAGAGAACUUAGAAUGGAGAAUUUGAGAGCUAGAGAGCUAAAUUUGAGAGCCUCUUAAUGGCAGAUAUACUGUGAGCACACAGAGAAACUAGAAUAGCAGAAUUGGGAGAGUAUUUAGAAGGAAGCAUCUAUGAACUGAGAGGUAUGUUCAGAUCUUGUGCUUGAGCUGAAUGGGACCCUAGAAUAUCAGAGCCUGGGCAUUCAGGGACCUUAUAACAUUGACAGUGGACAGUGGUCAGAGCCUACAAAAACAUCAGAGCUGUUAGGACAUGUAGAACAGAGAAUAGCAAAAGAAGGAGGAGCCUUAAAAUAACAGAAUAUUAGUGAUGGAAUAAACCUUAGAAUAUAGAACUUCUGACCUGCGAGGGACUUUAAAAGAAGCAGUGGUAUAGCAGGGAAGAGUAUUUUUCUUAUUAAUGUGCUCAGUGAGUCAUUGUAUUGGCACCUGCAAGUAAAUUUAAAAAAAAAAAACAAUUAAAAAGUUUGUUUAUGGUAAAUAUUAAACAUUACUUUUCAUGUAAUUUAUUUCAGUGAGGUGGUGCAGCUCUGUAUUAAAACUCAGGGACCGAAUUAACAGCCAAAAGGGAUUGGUGAAAAUGUAGUGCCUUAUUCAGAUCCAUAAAAGAAAAAAAAAGGGCAAAAAAGUGAUUCCAUUCAGUGCCUUGAUCUGCUCAGUGGUGAACCUUUGAAUUAAAACUCAGGUAUUAAACCAAUACAGCCAAAGAGGAAAUCUGGGGAAUGCUGUGCCUUCUGUGGCUCUAAAAUAAGGAAAACCAGGCAAAAAAAUCCCAUUCAGUGCCUUGUUCUGUGGUCAUCCUUUGAAUUAUAAAACUCAGGUAUUAAACUAAUACAACUAAAGAGCAAAGAGGGAAAUGAUGUGCCUUCUGUAGCUCUAAAAUAAGGAAAACCAGGCAAAAAAUCCCAUGCAGUGCCUUGUUCUGCUCUGUGGUCAUCCUUUGAACUAAAGCUCAGGUACUUAACCAAUAUAUCCAAAGAAAAAAGGGGGAAAUACAGUGCCUUCUCAGGCUCCAUAAAGUGGAAAAAAACCGGGUAAAAUAUGCAGUGCCUUGAUUUGCUCAGUGGUGAACCUUUGAAUUAAAACUCAGGUAUUAAACCAAUACAGCCAAAGAGGAAAUCUGGGGAAUGCUGUGCCUUCUGUGGCUCUAAAAUAAGGAAAACCAGGCAAAAAAAUCCCAUUCAGUGCCUUGUUCUGUGGUGAUCCUUUGAAUUAUAAAACUCAGGUAUUAAACUAAUACAACUAAAGAGCAAAGAGGGAAAUGCAGUGCCUUCUCAGGCUCCAUAACUAGGAAACAAAACGGGUAUUAAAAUUAUUUCCAUACAGUGCCUUUUUUUGCUCAGUGGUGAACCUUUGAAUUAAACUCAGGUAUUAAACCAAUACAGCCAAAGAAGAAAGGGAAAAAAUUUAGUGCCUUCUCUGGCUCCAUAAACAGGAAACAAAACGGGUAUUAAAAUAUUUCCAUGCAGUGCCUUGAUUUGCUCAGUGGUGAACCUUUGAAUUAAAACUCAGGUAUUAAACCAAUACAACUAAAGAGCAAAGAGGGAAAUGCUGUGCCUUCUGUGGCUCUAAAAUAAGGAAAAAUCAGGCAAAAAAGUAAUCUCAUGCGGUACCGUUAUCUGCUCAGUGAUGAUCCUUUGAAUUAAAACUCAGGUACUAAACCAAUUCAGCCAAAGAGGAGAGGGGGAAAUGCAGUGCCUUCUCAGGCUCCAUAAAGAGGAAACAAAACGGGUAUUAAAAUUAUUUCCAUGCAGCGCUUAGAUUUGCACAGUGGUGCAGCUCUGUAUUAAAACUCAGGGACUGAACCAAUACAGCCAAAGGGGAUUGGUGAAAAUGAAGUGCCUUAUUUUGUUCCACAAAAAGAAAAAAAACGGGCAAAAAAGUAAUUGCAGAAGUGCCUUGUUCUGGCCAUCAAGGCAUGAAAACAGGAUAAUUGAAGCACUACUAAGAAAGGGUAGUUGUGGCUCAAAAUGCUACCUUUAUAACCAGAUAUUUUAUAUCAGGAGAGAGGAGAUUGUUGUACUUAAAAAACCCCAGGGUCCAAACUACCAGCCAAAGGUAUGUUUAUAAUCAAGUACCAUAUAUGGCUUGAGUAAGUAAAAACAGUCACCCUCAAAAAAAUAAUUCCUUUUAGUGCCCUGAUCAAUUGAGACUGCUACUGAUAUUCCUCUUAUUUGGAAUAAAUGGAGAAGAUUUAUUCCCUACUAUAACAUUUUAAGUACAAGUCAUGUCAAAGAAAAACCAUUUGUGUUGUCACUUUACAAGUAAGACUUAGGGGCAGAGCAAAACAUGAAAAAUAAAAGCACUAAAUGGAUAGACUAUCACAGAAGGAUCUGCUCUUAGAAGAGAAUGUAUCAGAGCUGGGAGGGUCUUUAUCACAUACAAAGUCUUGGGAGGCACAAUUCAUGAGAGAAUUUUCCUGGAAGAAGAAAGCUUAGAGUACAGAAUAUUAAAGCUAGGGGAAGAGGGAGAGAACCACACAUAUUAUCAAAAAAGAAAAACAAAAGAAAAAGGUCAUCAAUUUUAUUCUUUGCAAAUGCUCUAUUACUAAAGAUUGAUAUUAGUGAUGACUAAGAGUAUUUAUUGCUUACAAUUGCGUUUACAGAGCAAUAUAUUUAAAAGGGAGCACAUAGAAUGCUCAAUAUCUUCUCUUAUAUGGGUCUGAAAUUAGAGAUGUAAAAGGAGUGAUUGAUCUUUGAUUUUUCAGUGGCAUUGUGGGCCACAGAAUUAUUUGUGUUAUCUUGAGAAGAUGGGCUAGUUUUAUGUUUUCAGGGCACCAGAGCAGGCAUAAAGAGGUUAAAGGAAUCCCAGAAACAAAGGAUAAUUAUAAUUUGAAAUGUUAUCUUUAUUCUCAUAUAGUUUAUAUCAUCAAAAGAGCAAAGAAUUGUCUAAGGUCUUAGACCAAAGAGCUAAAUGUAUACAUUUCUCAUUCAGGACCUUAUAUGGGUUCAAGUAAGAACCCCCCAACAAGACAUGGGAUUUCUUGCAGUGCCCUGAUCAGUUAAAAUUGUUAUUGAUAUUCCCAUUAUUGGGAAUAGAGGGAAGAGUAUUGAUUCACGUACCAUUAAAUAGUACAAGGAAUUUCAAAGAGAGACUAUUUGAGCUGUGAUUUUGUUAUCAAGACUUAUGGGCCAUGAAUUAAGAGAAAAAUAAACUAAUAAAUGAAUAAGAGAGUCGAAAAUAAUGUGUCAGAGCUCUUAAAGGUCCUUAUGUAACACAGAAAAUCUUAACUAGGAGGUAUUAUUCAAAAACAGAGCUGGGAGAGCACAGACAGCUUCAUUAUAUAAAUAUAGGGGAAAAUAGGGUCCUCAUUUUGAUUCCUUUAAGUUCUUCAGACUGUUUUUGGUAUUGACUAGAGAAUAUGUAUUAACCAUAAUAAUUUUUGAAGAACAAUGCAUUUAAAAGAGAGCACAUAGAAUGCUGUGUCAUAUAAGAAGGGUCUUAAAUUAGAGAAGUAAGAGGGUAAAUAGAACUUAGGUUUUGACAGUCAGCACAGAUCAAGGGAAUCUCAAUGUCAUCCUGGCGAAGAUGUGUUUUGUUUUUGUUUGUUUUUAAUGCUUUCAGUGGGGCAAGGAAUAGAGAGACACAGUCUAAUUGAAACUCCAUUAAAUCAUGGAAGAAAUUUAGAAUCCAGACUGUCUGAUUGUGAUGAGUCCUAGAACCUGAAAUAGGAGAGAUCAGAAGGAAUCUUUUAAAAUGAAAUGGGGAGAACAGAGCCAUAGAACAAAAUAGUCUAAGACAAUAAGAUCUUAGUACCUAGAUUAUGGGAUCUGAGAGAAGCAUAGAAGAAAGAACUCCUGAAACACAGUGCAUGAGAGCCCAUUGUUCUGAAAGUACAGACCUAAAAGGUGAACCUUGAUUCUCAGAUCUGGAAAGGGGCCUUAGCAUACUCAAUAGCGUCUUUGAGAACCUGGAUUUCUCUGUGUUCUCAGAGCACCAAGGUAUGGUUAAUUGAAACCUUAAAAAAGAAAAAAUAUUUGUAACUUGAAUUGGUUUCUUUAUUUCUACAUAAUCGUAAUCAGGAGAAUAUUGCCUCCCUGCAUAAACUCAGAUUGCAGAACAAAGAACUACAGGUAUAAGCUUACAAUCUAGUUCAUUAUAUGGCUCCAAGAACUAAAAGUGAUCUCCUGAUAAGACCAGUCAUCCCCUGUACUGCUCUGCUCGCAUAUUAUUGCUAUUCAUAUUCCUGUUAUUGUGAAUGGAUGGAGAAUAUUUACUCACUAUCAUAAAGAUUAACAAAGAGAGACUGGGCUGUCAUUUUAUGACUAAGUUCCAUGGGCAGGGCAAUAAAUGUUAAAUGAACAAACCUAUAAAUGGAUAAAAUAUGAAAAUUUUGCCCUUGGCUAAGAGGUCUUUUGCACAUAGAAAGGCUUGACUGGAAGGUGCCAUUUAAGGGAGAAUUUUUCAGGUAGAAGAGAGAGUAAAGUAUACUCUGUUACAGCUUGAAAGGAAGAACUAUACUAUAUUAAAAAAAAAAGAAAAACAGAAAAUUGAUUAUCAAUUUGAUUCCUUGCAGAUCUUUGAUUUCUUAAAAAUGCUAUUGGUAUUGACUAGGGAACAUUAAUUAUUCACAAUAACUUUGAAGUAUAGAACAUUGAAAAGAGAAUAUGUGGAAUAGUGAUUGACCUCAGAACAGUCUGAAAUUAGAGAGGAAGGAGAGGUGAUAAGACAUCUUCGGAGUUAGUACAGCCAAUAUAAAUCUCAUUGUCAUCCUUGAGAAAAUGAAAAGUUUUAUGCUCCCAGUAGGUCAAGGAAUAGAGAAAGUAUAGUUAAUUUAAACUCCACUAAGAACAUGGAAGAAAUUUAGAAUCCUGACUGUGUGAUUGCAGUGAGCCCUAAAACCUAGAAUAUGAGAAGCAGGAGGGUCUUGAGAAGACAGAAGGUAGCAGAAUUUCAGCCAUAGAACAAAAAUAGGAUGAGGCAAAUGGGAUCUUAUUAAGUAGAUUCUGAGAUCUGUGAGUAUCCAAAAAGGAGGAAAUGUGAGAGCUGGAAGGGCACAUAGAACAAUGGGUGUCAGAAGAGGAGAGCACACAGAAAGUGGUAUUUCAGGUUUGGAAUUGUUCUGUGAGAACAGAGCUAGAAUGUUUAAUAGAAACUUUUUCAAAGCAAAAGGGACCUUGGAACUCUCAUUUUCAUCUUUGAUAAUAACUUUUUUAAGUUGUCAGGACACCAAGGCAUGGGGUGAGACAGGUUAAUUGAUCUUUUAGUACUGAAAUUGGUAUAUUUAGUUGUGUAUAUAUAGUUAUAGGGAACUAUAAUUUAUAUUAUGAGAGUGAUGAUUUGUCUGAUUUAAAACUCAGGUCUCAGACCAUAGAGCCAAAUAUAUAAGUUUACAAUUGAGUAGCUUAUUUAGUUCCCAGAAAUAAACACAGUUCCUGACAAGACAUGUGAUUGUAGUUCCAAGAUCAGAUAAGACUUCUUUUGAUAUUCCUGUUAUUUGAAAAGGUUGGAGAAUGUUUACUCACUACUAUGAGGUUUUAAGUACAAGGCAUUUCAGAGAUUUGUGCUGUUACUUUGUGAUUAAGGGCAUGUGCAAUAAGAGAAUUUUUUUUUAGAAAAAGAUAAAUGAAUAGAAUAUCAUGGGAGUGUUUGCCCUCAGAACAUAUAAAGUCUAGGAUAAGGAGCCUUAGUACAAAGAAAGGAUUAUUUGGGAGGUGAUAUUCAAGGGAUUAUUUUCCAGGGAAAAGAGAGCUUAAAAUAGAGACUUUUAGAGGUGGUAAGGCACAAUUUAAAAAACACAAAUAUAAAAAGAUGGUCAUGAAUUUGAUUCCAUGCAUAUCCUUAUUUAUUCACUACUGCUGUUGGCAACAAUUGAAGAGUAUUUAUUGCCCACAGUAACUUUUGAGUGCAGUACUUUUAAAAGGGAACACAUUGACUGCUGAAUGUCUGAUAUAAGAGGUGUCUGAAAUUACAGAGGUAAGGACAAUAGAAUUUAGAUUUUCAGAGCCAACAUGAGCCAUAGAAAUCUCAAUGUCAUUCUUGAUAAGAUGAAUUUUUAAUAUACUCAAGGAGCCAUAUAUAUAAUUCAAGGUAGAGCUGGACAAAAUUCAGAGGGCCGACUUUGGGAUCUGGAUUAAUCCUAAUUAUGGAAUAUCAAUUAUUUGGAGAGGCUUUGGGGAAAAAAAAGUUGAAAGGACAGAAUGAAGCAUAAAAAAUAGUUGGAGCCAGUGGAUCUAAGUAUAAAAAACAUGGGUCAUGAGAAUAGCCAGAGGAGAAAAUGUUCUCACAUUGUAAAGGUAUGAAGAACAAAGGAUAUCAGGGAAGGGAGCACAUAGAAUGUGGAAUUUCUGGUGUGAGAGAGUUUCACAAGCACAGAACUAUAAGGUACUAUAGAACCUAUAUUUUCUGACCUGGAAGUUGCCUUUAGAAUUCUCAAUGGCAUCUUUCAGAAGAUGGAUAUUUUUAUGUUCUCAGGACACCAAAGCAUGUAAAGAUGUAAUUUCUAUCAGGAGAGUAGUAAUUGAAUUAAAACUUUGGUCCCCAAUCACACAGCCAAAGGUAUAAGUUUAUAAUCAAGUAUUAUAUGUACCGUUAAGGAAUAAAAACUAUUCCUCAAGACGAGUGAUUCCUUGUAGUGUGAUGCUGAUCAAGUUAGACAUCUAUUGAUAUUCCUUAAAUUAAAAUACCUUAGUGUUUUAAGUACAAGCCUUUUCAAAAGAGGCCAUUUCUACUGUCAUUUUAUUACUAAGACUUAAAUGGGCUGUAAGAGAAAAUAAAUGGCAUUUAGAAAUUAAUAUGUCAGAGAUAUAAGAUUCUUCAGCACAUAGAAAGGCUUGGUUGGAAGGUGUUAUCCCUUAGAAAAUUUUCCAAAUAUAAGAGAGUUUGGAGUAUAAAGUAUUAGAGCUGGUAGUUCAGAACUAUACAAUAUUAAAAAGAACAAGAAAAAUGAUCAUCAAUUUAAUUCCUUGCUGAUCCUUGAUUGUUCAGCACUGCUUUUGGUAAUGAAUAGGGGUCGUUACUGUCCACAAUAACUUUUGAAGUAUGAUACAUUUACAAUGGAGCGCCUGGAAUGCUAAAUGUCUGAUCUCACAGAGGUGUGAAAUUUGAGGAAAGAGAAGGGAUAAAACUUAGAUUUUCAGAGGCAUUGUGGGCCAUAGAACAUUAUGUCAUCCUUUAUAAAAAUGAGUUAUUUCCUACUUGAAGGUCAAGUAAGAAAAUUAUUUGUGGCUGGAAAUGCUACCAUUAGUUCUAUAUAUAGUAUAUACCAGGAGAGUAUAAUUGUCUGAAUUAAAAUUCAGGUACUAGAUCACACAAUCAAAAAUAGAAGUCUGUCAUUGAGAUUCUUAUAUAACUUUAAAAAGUAAAAACAAUCCACCAACACAAGUCACUCUUUGUAUUGAUCACAUAUUCCUUUUAUUCAGAAUGGAACAAGAGUAUAGACUGAGUACUAGGUACUUACUCUUUGAAACAAAGAAAGACCAGUUGUGCUAUUGCCUUAUAAGGAAGACCCACAGGCAGUGCAAUAAGAGAAAAAGAAAUAAACUGAUGAAUGUACAACAUAGGAGGGUCUGCUUUUAGAACAUAUAGCAUCCAAGCACAUAGAAAAGCUUGAUUGGGUUGUCAUUCAAGGGAGAAUUUUUCAGGUAUAAAUAAGAGCCUAGAGUAAAGACUGUUAGAUUUGUCAGGGGAGAACUACAUGAUAUAAAAAUAAGAAAAGAAUCCUUGGGGCAACUAGGCGGCACAGUGGAUAGAGCACCAGCCCUGAAGUCAGGAGCACCUGAGUUCAAAUCUGGUCUCAGACACUUAACACUUCCUAGCUGUGUGACCUGGGGCAAGUCACUUAACCCCUUUUGCCUCAGCAAAUAAACAAACAAAUAAAUAAAUAAGAAAAAAAAAUCCUCUUCUCUACCUCCCACCCCACAGUGGUCAUCAUUUUGCUUCUUUCAGUUCCUUCAUUACUUAAGAUUAUUAUUAAUGGCUCAAGAAAGACUGCAGGAUCUAGAUGAACCUUAGAACUUAGAAUAUGAAAGGUAGGAGGGAGUUUCAAAGUGUGGGAGAAAGCUUUGGCCAUAGAAGAAAUAUAGUUUGGGCCAGUGUGGCCUUAAUAUGUAGAAUAGGCAUUCUUAGAGUAGCCAUAGAAAAGAGAAUGUUAGAAUUGGGAGGGCAUCUACAACUAGGGAUUUUAGAGCAAGAAAACACAAAGAAUAUUGAAUUUCUUGUUUGGAACUGUUCAGAAAGAACACAGCUAAAAGGUGAGAGAAGCUAGAUUUUCAGAGCUGGAAAGGGCCUUAGAAUUUUCAGUGACAUUCUUGAAAAUAUGUAUUAUUUCAUCUUCUCAAAUGGAAAAGACAUGAAAAGGUAUAGGUUAACUGAAAUCCUUGGUUAAAAUGAUAUUUGUGACUAGAAAUGCUACCUUUAUUUCCACACAAUAUAUAUAGAGAGAGUGAUAAUUUUCUAAAUUAAAACUCAGGUACCAGACCACACAGAUUUACAAAUUUAUUAUCAAGGGCCUUCUAUAUUUCUAAAAAAUAAAAACAAUCUGCUAAUACAAAUGAUUCCUUAUAGUGCCCUUAAGUGUUGGACUUAAAAUUGAUAUUUCUAUGACUGGAAAUGGAUGAAAAAUAUUUAAGGUACACCAUAAAGCAUCAAUGAUUGGGGAACUUCAAACUAAGACUAUGUCGCUUUAUGACUAAGUCCCAUGGUCAGUGCAGUAAAAGAAAAAUAAUCAAAUCAAUAAAUGGAUAAAAUAACAUAGAAUGGUUUGCCCUUAGAACAUAUAGUGUCAGAACUAUGAAGUUGUUUAGCACAUAGAAAGGCUGGACAUUUGGAGGUGCCAUUCAAGGCAGAAUAUUUCAGGUAGAACAGAGAUUGCAUACCAUUAGAGCUGAGAGGCCAGAACUGCACCAUGUAAAACUAGAAAAAAAAAAUCGAUCAUCAAUCUGAACCUUGUGGAUCCUUGAUUAUUUCAUACGAUAUUGAUGAUGACUAGGGAGUAGUUACCACUAAUAACCAUUGAAGUACAUUGCUUUUAAAAGAGUAUAUACAUUAUGUAUGCUAACUGCACGAUAUAGGAGUCUUACAGAGGUAAGAGGGACUAUAGAAUGUUGAUUUUCAGAGCUAACAUGAUAGAACCUCUAUUUUCAGAACCUGUAUUUGUUGUUGUUCAGUCAUUUCUAUUGUGUUCAACUCUUUGUGGCCCUAUUUGGGGUUUUCUUGGUGGAGAUACUGGAGUAGUUUGCCAUUUCCUUCUUCAAUUCAUUUUACAGAUGAGGAAAUUGAGGCAUUCAAGUGACUUGCACAAGUUCACACUAUUUGAGGUCAAAUUUUCACACAGGAAGCUGGGUCUUACUUAAUUCCUUGACUGAUACACUAUUUACUGCAGUGCCACCUAGCUCCCUAUAUAGCUAGAACUAAUAUUUUUCAGAGCUGGAAGAUGCCUUAGAACUUUAAAGUAACUUAAACUUUAGAAGAUGGAUUUCUUAUGUUUUUAGGUCACUAAAGCAUGGAGAGAGACAGGUUAAUUGAAACUCUAGGAGCAAAAGAUAUUUAUGGCUUGAAAUGCUACCUUUAUUACCUGAUAAUUUCUACAAGGAGGGGGAAGCUAGAUGGUGUAGUGAAUAGAACACUCAUCCUGGAGUCAGGAGAUCCUAAGUUCAAAUCUGGCCUCAGAUAUUUAACCCUUUCUAACCGUGGGACCCUGAACAAGCCACUUAACCCUAAUUGCCUCGCAAAAAAGAAAAAAUUUAUAUAAGGACAGUGGUAAUCGUUUGAAUUAAAAUUCAGGUCUCCAAACAUAAAAUAGCCAAACGUAUAAGUCUAUAACCUAUUACCUUAUAUGCCUCCAAGAAAUAAAAACAAUUCCCCAAGAUAAAUAAUUCCUAGAAACAUAAUGAUCAGGUUAGACUUUUAUUCAUAUCCCUGGUAUUGGGAAUUAAUUAGUAGUACUCAUUACCAUAAGGUUUCAAGUCCAAGGAAUGCCAAAGUGAAGCCAUUUAUACUGUUACUUUGCUACGAUAGGCAAUGCAGUAAGAAAAAAAAGUAAUUAAAUUGAUAAAUGGAUAGAAUAUGAAAGUAUUCUCUUUUCUCCAGUUAGAACUAGAAAAAAAUUAGAGGAUAAACUAUUGGAUCUAGAUGAGCUCUAAACCUGAGCUAUCAAAGUUAGAAGGGACUUUGGAAGAAAAAAGUUGUGAGAUGGACAGAGCCAGUGAAUGAAAAAUAGUGUGAGCCAGAAGGCAGCAAUAUAUAGAACAUAGAUCAUGAGACUAGCCAGAAAGGAGAAAAAGUGAGAUCCAGGAGGGUACCUAAAACAAAGAAUAUCAGUGACAGAUAAGACUGCUCUCAAUAUCCUGUUAUUGGGAAGUAAUUGAUAGUAUUUAUUCACUAUCAUAACUUAACAUGUGGGCAAUUCAGUAAAGGAAAAGUAACCUAUGAAAUGGAUAGAAUUCAUAGGAGUGUUUACCUUUAAAACAAACUAUGUCAGAACUAGGACAAUCCUUAGCACAUAGGUAGUCUGAAAUAGGAGGUGCUAUUCAUGGGAGAAUAUUCCAGGGAAAUACUGAAUCAGGGCUACCCAAUCAUGAUGAGUUGUAGAACCUAGAACGAGAAAUGGGAGAGACUUUAGAACAUAGAAAGUGAUAGCUGGACAGACCCAUAGAACCAAAAGUAUUCUGAGCCAGUAGGACCUUACUAGUAAGAGUGUGGAACUUGAGAGUUGCCAUAGAGAAGAGAACAUGAGAGCUGGAAGGGCAUUUAGAAUAAGUAGUGUCAGAGCUAGAGGGCACACAGACCAUGGAAUUUCUGGUAUGAAUGGCUUUCGUAAGAACAGAGCUAGAAGGUGUGAUAGAACCUAGGUUAAUAAUCUAGAGUUAGUAAGUCUUAUACCAAAACAUAGAGAGGGACAGGGGUAUUUAAAACCCUACUUCCAAAUGAAAUUGGAGGCUUGAUAUGCUAUAUUUAUGUCCAAAUAAUUUAUAUCAAGAGAGAAGUGAGUGCCAUAAUUUAAAAUCAAGUCCAAGAUCAUAGAACCUAAAGGUGUAAGUUUAUAAUCUAGUACUUUACAUGGCUCCACGAAAUAAAAACAGUCCCUGACAAGACACCUUAUUCUUUGUAGUACCCUGAUCAAAUAAGACUACUAUUGAUUUCCUUUUUGGGGAUAUGGAUGGAAAAUAUUUAGUAUCUACUAUAAACUUUUAAGUAUUUCAAAGAAAGGCUAUUUGAUUUUAUAACUCAAACCCAUGAACAAAGCAGUGAGAGAAAACUAACUCAACAAAUGGAUAGAAUCUCAUAUGAGGGCUUGCCCUUGGAACAUAUAUUGUUAGGGCUAUGAGAACUUUCAGCACAUAGAAAGGCUUUGUUGGGAGAUGCCAUUCAAGGGAGAAUUUUCCAAGGAGAAGAGAGCUUAGAAUACUCUCAUUAGAGCUAGGAAGACAGAAUUCUCAGUGGCAUCCUUGAAUGAGUUAUUUUAUACUCUUAGGGCACCAGGGAAUGAAGAGAGACAGGUUAAUUGAAAUUUGAAUAAUGAAGUAUAUUUGUUACUUCAAAUGCUGCAUUUAUUGUUGUUGUUCAGUCUUGUCUAACUCUUUGUAGCCCCAUGGACCAUAAUACACUAAUAUUAUUCAUGAGAUUUUCUUGGCAAAGAUCCUAGAAUGGCUCAUCAUUUCUUUUUCCAGUGGAUUAAGGCAAACAAGAGGUCAAGUGACUGUUUGUGUCUGAGCCUAUAACUGAACUCAGGUCUCCUCAUCUCCAUACCCACAGAGCCACCUUGUUGCCUCUAAUUUAGUACAUAGAAAUUCUUGGUUGGGUGGCACCAUUCAAGGGAGAAUGUUCCAGGUAGAAAAGAGCUUAAAUAACAGAAUAUUAGACCUAACAGUGAAGAAGAGCACAAUAUAAAAAAAUAAUUAGUCAACACUUUUUAUUCAAUGCAUUUCCUUGAUUACUUAGUACUGUUAUUGAUAAUGACUUUGGAUAUUUAUUGACUAUAAUAAUCUUUGAAGAAUAGUACAUUUAAAAGGCAGUUCAUAGAAAACUAAAAUAGCUGAUGUAGGAGGAGAGUCCAGGGAACUUAGAUAUUCAGAACCAGUAGGAGUAGCAGAACUCUAUGUUAUCAUCCUUAAGAAGUUGGGGAUUUUUUUCCUCAGGAUGCAGUUGUAUGGGAAGAAAUAGGUUCACUGAAACCUUAGAACCAAAAGGGAUAUUUGUUAUUUGGAAUAUAAGGUUUAUUUCUGUUUAAUUUAUAUCAAGACUGUGGCAGUUGUCUGAAUUAAAACUCAUGUCAUGGAUCACAACAGUAAAAGUAUAAAUUUAAGAUAAAUACCUCAAAUGGCUUACAAAAUUUUAAAACAAACCUCCCUACUAAACAAAUGACUCCUUAUGGAGCCUUAAUCAGAUCAAAUUACCAUUUAUAUUACUAUUAUUGGAAGUGGAUAGAGAGGAUUGAUUGAUUGCUGUAAGGUGCUAAGUACAGUGCAUUUUUUUCCUCAGUAGUAUUUUAUUUUUCCAAAUACAUAUAAAGGUAGUUUUCAACAUUCAUUUUUGUAAGAUUUUGUGUUUCAAAUUUUACUCCCUUCCCCCUUACCUCUACCUUCUCUGUGAAAUACAUGAAUAUGAAAUACAAUGCAUUUCAAAGGGAGACCAUUUUUGCUAUUACUUUAUACUAAAAUCCAUGGAUAGUGCAAGAAGAGAAAAAUAAACCAGUAAGUGAAUAGAAUAUGUCACAGGAAUAUCUGUCCUUGGAAUAUAAGAUAUCAGAGAAUGCAAGUCCUUGGUACAUGGAAAGUCUUGAUUGGAAAGUGCCAUUCAAGAAAGAUAUUCCAGGUGGAAGACAGUUUAGAGUAUAGAAAAGGAGAGCUGGAAGGGUAUGAUAGAAGCAUGAUAGAAAAAGUAAAAUUCAAAAAAAUGGUCAUCCAUUUCAUUUCAUGCAGAUUCUUGAUGACAUAAGAUUGAUAUCAGUAAUGAAUAGCAAGCCUUUUUUGCCUAAAAUAACUUUUCAAGGACAAUGUGUUAAAAAGACAUUCUUUUUUGAAUCAUAUUGCUAACAUACGUUCGCAGUCUACUUAAACCAGCAAAAAUAAAAAAAUGAUGAGGGAAAAAGCCUAGAAUUUUGGAGCCAGGUGAAGCAUAGAAUAUUCUAAGACUGUUAGAGUCCUUAGCACACAAAGUGUCAUGGCAGAGAGUGGUGAGAGAUAGCAUAAAGAAUUUUGGAACAAGAAUAGACAGAAUGUCACAAAUGGCCACUGAAGGCAGAAUAUCAGCCAGAGAAGGUUUGUGAAAAAAAUAGAAUAUCUGAACUUGGAUUAAAUUUAGAAUUCAGACUGCCAGAUCUGGUUUGAAUAUGAGGGAAGAGUUACUUUAGAAGAUAUAAAUGGGAGAUAGAGCCAGAGAAUAAAGAUGAUCUGAACCAUUGGGACCUUUUUGCACAGACUGUGGAUCUUAAAUGAAACCAGAGAAGAGAAUGAGAGAAUGAGAGGGCACCUAGAACAAAGGAUAGCAGAACAAGAGAGCACAUAGGAUUUUGAUUUUUUGCGGGGUGUGGGAGGAUUAUGUAACAACAGAGUUAAAAUACAACUUAGUUUAACUUUCUUCGCGCCUUUAAGUGUUAUUGAAAGAAAAAUGUAGCUAGAGAAGAGUUUAGAAUACAGAGUUAUUAGAGCCAAUUGAGCAGAACUGAGAAUGAACAGUGAAGAAAACAGAAUGUGGUAUACAGUAUUUGAACUGCCAAGAAAUUUAGAAUGAAAAAUGCCUAUCGUGAAUGGGGUUUUAGAAGCUGGAAUAUCAGAGGUAGGAGAUGCCUUAGAGCACACUUAAACUAUCUCUGAUUCUUGGCAAAUCACUUAACCUCACUUUGACUCCGUUUUCUCAGUUGUAAAAUAGGGAUAAGAAUAGCAUCUGCCUCAAAGAAUUGUUUUGAGGAUCAAAUGAGACAAUUUUUGUAAAAGUGUUAACAUAAUGCCUGGUACAUGAUUGGCACAAUAUAAAUGCUUAUUCUCUUAUGAAACUCAAAAAACCAAAAACAACUUAUUUUUUUUUAAAGUGAUUCCUUGAUCAGUUAAGACUCUUGUUGAAAUUACUGCUAUUGAUAAUAGAUGGAGAGUAUUGACUACUGUAAGAUAUUAGGUUCAUUCCAUUUCAGAGAGAAACCACUUGUAUUUUCACUUACUGUCUUAAUAGUGCAACAUUCAGUGUAAUCAGAGAAAAAACAAGUUACAAGAGGAUGGGACAUAAAAACAGAAUGUCAGAGCUGAGAGAGACUGUAGAACAGGGAAUGUCAGAGCUUAGACUAGUAUGACAGAGCUGGGCUGGGCUUUAGAACAGAGACUGUCAAAACUGGGAGAGGCCUUAGCACAGAAAAAAUCUUGGUUGGAAGGUACUAUUCAAGGGAGAAUACUGGAGGUGAGAGAGAAGAUAGAAUAGAGAAUUUAAGAACAAAGAAGGUAGUCUGGACCUUGAAUGUCACAACUGGGAGUAGACAUUGAUUAAAAAUAUCAGACCUGGGAGAGGAUGUAAUAAUAUACAGUAUAUCUGAGCUUGGAAGAAAUUGGGAAACCAGACUGCCUGAUCUGGAUGAGUCUUAGAACCUAUAAUAUGAGAGGCAAAAGGGGCAGUAAAACACAGAAAAUGGAAGAUGAUCUAAGGCUGAGAACAGAAAUGAUAAGAACCAGUGUACCAUAGUACACUGAUAGUAGGCAUAGAGAAGACAGUGUGAGAGAUGGGAUGGUAUCUAAAGCCAGGAUUAUCAGAGCAUAGAAUGUUCAAUGACUUGGGAGGAACCUUAAAAAAAUGUCAGAGCUGAGAAAGUGAGGGGUUAUAGUAGAUUUUUAGUGCUGAGUAGUAUAAUUUUUGAAGAGAUUAUUCUUAUGUGCUCAGUUGGUUAAGGCAUGCAGUAUUUAUUUCCAUAUAAUUUAUAUCAGACAAUGUUGGUUAGGUGAAUUAAAACUUGGGUCCUGGAUCAUAGAGAUAAAAGGCAUGAAUUUAAAAUCUUGCCCCAGAUGUGGCUCCAAAAAUUAAAGCAAGACACACGAUUCCUCAUAGUUUCUUGAUUAGGUAGGAUUACUAAUGAUAUGAUUUAUCAUUAUUACUAAAAGUUGAAGAGUUUUUAUUUAAAAGGAGACCGUUUGUGCUAUCAAUUUUUUGCUAACACCAAUAUGCAGUGUAAUAAAAGAAAAACAAAUAAGGAGGAACACUAACAUUUUAUAAGAGAUGUGGACCUUAGAAUUUAAAAUGUUAGAGCUGGGAGAAUACUUAAUAUAUAAAAUUUCUUGGCUUAGAUGUUCCUUUCAAGGGAGAAUAAUUUAGAGGAAAGCUUAAAAUAAAGAAUAACAAAAUUUGGAGAAUAGUCUUAACUCCAAAUUCAGAAAUUUUAGUAGAUGGGGAAGACAUUCUAUCAGUUCUGGAAGGGUUUAUUCAAUAUCCAAACUUGUAGCAACUUCAGAAUUAAGAAUGCCUGUGCUAAUUGGCACCCACCAAGCUGGAGUAGCAAAUAUGAGGGGAAUCAUAGAAAACAGAGAAACAUGGACAAAUCUGAGAAUACAAGUUGCCCUAGCAUUGUGACCUUCACGCACAGUAUGUCAAACUUGGGAGUUUGGGAGAGAAGAGAAUGUCAAAACUAGGACUCUUAAAACGAAGAUCUCAGAGCCAGAACCCUUAGAACACAGAAUGGCAGAAUUGGGAGGGCUCUUCAAACACAUAAAAUUUCUGGUAAGAAGUUCUUUGUGAUUGUAAUUUUUUUUGUUGUUGUUGUUAUUCUUUUAAAUAUGUUCAGUGGGCCAUGGUUUUGGAUGGAAAAGAGAUAGAUAUAUUACAGAGAUAUACACAGAAAGAAUAACAAAGUAUAAUAUGAGAUGCAAUAUAUAUUUCAGUGUAAUUUAUAGCAGUUCAAUGGGGAUACAUUGAAUUAAAAUUCAUUUUUGGAACUACCAGUCAAAAGACAAACCUAAUCUAGGUCCAGACAAAGGAUUGAAAUGAAAAGAACCUGGCAAAAAAAGUAAUUCAAGUCAGGAGCUGGAUGGGUGGCCUUAGACCUAGAAUAUCACAUGUGGUAAGGCCUUUAGGACAUAGGCACAAUACAAACUGUCCUCUUUAUUGUGACAUCACACAGAAUGUAGGCUUGAAAGUAACUAGAGAAGAGAAUGUCAGAGGUACUUGGAUCCUUACAAUAGGCAAUCUCAGAGGCAGGAAAGCUCUUUAAUGUCAGAACCAGCAAUGACCUUAAAAACCACAAAAUGACAGAGCUAGGAAGGGCCUUAGAAGACGCUAUCAUUUCUGGAAAGGAAGUGUUUUUUGUUUUUUGUUUUUUGUUUUUUUAAUGUUCUCAGUGGCCAAGCUGUUAUGAAGGUUAGGUAAAAUUUAAAAUCAAGUUUACUUAGAGUAUAGAUGCAAUCUAUUAGCAACAUGAUGAUAUCCUGAAUGAAAAACUUAGGUCCUCAACCACGCAGAGCUUAUUUUGACUUCUCCCAAAAAAUGUAGGAAAGAAAGCAGGGGGAAUAAUCCCAUGCCAGAAAUAGGAAAAGACUGCUAUGAUUAUUACUAUCAUUGUAAAUGAAGAAAUAGUAUUUAUUGAAAAAAUUAAGGUAAGUACACAGGAUAUAAAAAGUUUAAAAGGUACUUACUAUUUGUGACUUGCAAUAAUUCUACCAUAAGACAUAUAAGUAAUGUAAUAAAACCCAAUAACUAAACAAAAAAAAAAUACCCUAGAAUAUCAGAGGAAGAACAUUAAAUAUCAGUGCCAGGUUGACCUUUGAAAAAUAGGAAAGCCUUAAAAACACAAUGUCAGGAGGAGGAACAUCUUUAAAAUCUGUGAGGGCUCUUAGGACAUAGAUUAUUUCAACUUAGAACACAGUGUCAUCAUUGAUGGGAAGGAGGUUUCGAUGUUUUUUUUCAAAAUAUUAGGCUUUAAAAAUGAUGAAGUAUCUUUUGUGGCAUGAGAUGCAACAUUUAUUUGAAUAUAAUUUAUAACAGCACAAUAGUGAUGCUCUGAAUUAAAACUCAGGUCAUGAACCACACAAAGAGGAAACGUGAACAUACUGUGCUAAUCUGGCUCCCCCCCUAAAAAAAAAAAAAAAAGAAAAAGAAAAAACCCCGACAAAAAAGUAAUCCUAUGCAGUGCCUUGAAGGGUAAGACAGCUGUUGUUAUUCCUAUUAUUCUUAAUGAAUGGGGAGUAUUUAUUGAAAAAUAAAUAAGGUAAGUUCACAGGAUUUAAGUGGGACAAUAUUUGGGAUUUUAAAUAAUUUUAUAUUUAAGAUUUGUAUCUAAAGUAAUAAAACUGAACCAAUAAAUGAAAGGGGAAAAAAACCCUUGACUAUCCAAAAAAAGUCAGGAACCAAAAUGUCAGAGCUGGGAGGGUCUUUAGAACAUGUAGUGUUUGGCCUUUCAGGAGAACAUCUGGCAUCUAGAUAAAGCUUAGAGUAGAGAAAUUCGACAUUUGGAUAGUAGUUAUUAAUCUGAAUGUUGGAGGUUUAAAUAGAAGCUAUAAUAUCUAAUCUGGAAGGCACUGAGACUGUCUCAGCUUGGAAGCAAGUUUAGAUUAAGUGCCUGACCUGGAAUGGGUCUUCCAGUCUGGAAUAUGGAAGGGGGAGGGUGUUUAGAACCUGAAUUGUCUAAUUUAAUAGGAUCUGAGCCUAUAGAAUGUCUUGUCUGAGAGUAACCAGAGGGAACAUAAUGUUAGAGCAGGUAGGACUUUCGGGAAUAUCAGUGAGGAGACACUUUGCAACAGUCACCAAGUGAAAUGAGUGUCCAAGCCGGGAAGGUGGACUCUUAGAGCACAUAUUAGCAGAUUGGAAUUGGACCUGAGAACACACAGCAUCAUCCCAGGGAAGGAGCUUUGUUGAUAUGCUCAGGGGUCCAAGAUAUUGGGAGUCACAGGUAAAUUUAAAAGGCAACAACAAGUUCUCUUUAUGAUAUGAGAUGCAUAUUUAUUUCAGUUUAAUUUCUAGUAGCACAGUAAUGACAUCUGAAAUAAAACCCAGGUCUUGGGGUCCAUAUUCGAAGAGGAAAGGUGACAAGAUAGUGCCUUUAAUAGCCCUUACCCCUAUUUCCACCCCCACCAAAUGUCCCUGAAAAACACUAAUUCUGUGCACUGCCUUGACCUGAUUAGGCUGUUAUCAGCAUUCCUAUUGCCAGUAAAUGGAGAAUAUUUAUUGGAAAAUAUAAGGUAAGUGUACAAGAUGUGAAAGCAACAUCAUUUGGGAUUUUAAAUUAUUGUAUUGUUAAGAUACAUAUAAUGUAGCAGAAUAUAAAACUUAAAAAAUAAGUUAGAAUUUAAAAUACUCCAAAAUAUGAGAGGAAGGAGGACCUAAGAACAUAGACUAUCUGGCAGUGGAUAUACUUUUGAAAAGGAUAAACUGGAGGUUGGAGAAAGUUUUGAAUAUAGAAUUCUAAAACUGAAGUUUGGGCAAUCUGGCAGUUCAGACUUAAAAUGUCAAAACAAGUUGUUGAUUGGAAAGUCAGAAUAUCAGGCCUGGGAAAAAAUGUAGACCACAAAAUGAAUGGGCUCAGAGGAAAUUUAGAAUCCAGAAUGUUGAAUGGAAACCUGGAACCUAGAAGAUCAACCAUGGAAGGGAUCCUAAAACACAGAAGGCAAGAGAGGAUUAGAAUGUGAGAACAGGAUUAUCUAAUUCUCUGGAAGCAAAGUAUACAGAAUGUCAAGUUGGGGAAUAGCAGGAGAUAAGGGAAUGUUAGAGCCACGAGGACACAUGGAGUAAGCUUAGUACAUGAGAUUUAGGAAGGCCCUUAGAAUACACACUGUCAGAACUAGGAGUGCCCUUAACACCUUGGAGAGCUCUUAGAACAUGGAUUGGCAAAAUUGAAGCGAUCCUGAGUAUAUACAAUAACAUCUUUGAGAAGGAAUUUUGUUGCUGUACUUAGGUUUCUGAGUUAUAGGGUGGGGCAUGUAAAUUUAAACAGUAAUAAAAUAUAUAUUAUGAGAGGCAACAUAUGUUUCAGUAUAAUUUAAAUCAGCAUAGUGAUGGUGCUCCAUAUUAAAAUUCUGAUUCUCUGUCACAUUGUCAAAGGGAAAAGGCCAUUCAUUGCCUUGCCUUACCUUACUUAGGGAAAAAAAAUGAAAAGCCUUGACAGAAUUAGUAAUUUUAGUGUACUGUUUUAAUCCAGUCUGCUAUUGCUAUUAUUGAAACUAGGUGGUAAGUGCAUAGGAUCUAAAAGGCAUAGCAUUUCCUCUUUUAAAUCAUUAUGUUGGCAAGCUCAUAUUCAGUUUAUCAAAAUAAAAAUAAGUAGAUAAUAGAAAAAGAAAAAAAAUCUGAAAUAUCAGAAUAUCAGUUGUGGCCAUAGAACAUAGAAUUCCAGGCUUAGGGAGCAGGGGCCUUUAAGUCUGGGUUUGUGAGACCAGAAAGCUUAGAAUGGAGAAUAUCAGAGCUGAGAGGGUAGCCAGGGCUCAAAAUGAUAGAGCUAGGAGUAGUCACAGAAGUCAAAAUAUCAGAUUUGAAAGAGUACUUAGAACAUAGGAUUUCAAAAGUUGGAGAAAAUAUAGAAUCAAGAAUGCCUGAAUUAGAUGAGGCCCUGGAAGCUAGACUUAGGGUUAGUUUAAACUUAAAAUAUGUCAAACAUUGGUCAUGCCCACAAAACUCCCAAGUGCUUCCUUAGCUAGCUUAAAAUGAAAUUGAGAACUACAAAACAAAAUCAGUGAAAACACAGUAAAACAUAGGUAACAUUGCAUUUAAGAUCAAGUUCGUAUAUGACCCUCUAGGAUCCUUAGUAGAGACCCUGAUUUCUAGUGAGUUUGUCACCACUGUCUUAGAUCACAGAAAGUAGGGGAUGAUCAGAGCCUACAAACACAGAUUGUCCAAGUCAUUAGGAUGUUAACAAAGCCAAGACCAGAGCUGAAAGUGGUCAUAUCAUCCCAGAGAUAGGAAAUUCAGAGCUGGGAAGGUCUUAAAAGAAGGGAAUCUUAGAGUCAGGAGAGCCAUUCUCAUACUGAAUGUUAGCACCAGGAGCUUCCUUAAAGCCAAGAAUUUCAGAGCUGGCAGAGCUCAUAGAAAAGGGAUUCUGAGAAAUGAAAAGGGCCUUAGAACACAUAAUGCCAUAUUUGGGAAGAAGGGUUGUUGUUGUUUUUUUAUUUGCCAUAUGACAUAAGUAUUGGGAGGGACAGGUAGAUUUAUUUUUAAAAAUACAAAGUGUAUUUAUGGUAUGAGAUGCAACAUAUAUUUCAAUAUAAUUUCUGUCAGCACAAUUGUGAUACUCUGAAUUAAAACUCAGGUCCUGAACCACACAACCAAAGAAGAAAGGGGAACAUACAGUGCCUAAUCUGGCUCAAAAUAAAAAUAAAAAAAAGAAAAGAAAAAAAAAAGUAAUUACAUGCAUUGCCAUGAUGGGGUAAGACUGCUGUUGAUAUUACUAUUAUUGUUAAUAAAUGUGGAAUAUUUAUUGAAAAAAAUAAGGUAAGUACACAGGAUUUUAAAGAAAUAUCAUUUGAGAUUUUCAAUAAUUGUAUUGCUAAGAUAGAUAUGUGUUAUAAUAAAAGUGAAUAAGUAACUGAUAAAAAUAAAACCCCUAGACCAUUCGAGGAGGGAGGAAACUUAAAAUGUCAACUAUCAGGAAAGGAAGAUCUUCAGAAGCCAGAAUAGCUGAGCUUGGAGUUGCCUUUCAGGUUAAGGUAUUGAGUAGAAGGUAGAGACUGGGAAGGCAGUUUGGGUCUGAAUGUCAGUACUGGGUGUUGACACAAAAGCCAGGAUAUCAGACCUAGAAGGGGACUAAAAGCAUGGACUGUGGAGGCAGUUUAAAAUCAGAUAUACUGUUUGGGGCCUGGGAACCUGGAAUUUUAGUGCUUGAAGGAAACCUCAAAUACAGAAAGUAGGUUAGAGUCUGAGAACACAUAUUGUAAGGAUCAUCAUUUAUAUAAGUGCAGUGAUGUUGCUCUGAAUUAAAGCCCAUCCUUUAGUACUAUAGUACUAAGAAAAAGUGAACUAUAGUACUACAUCUGGUUAAAAAAAUUUAACUCCAUGAUCUGUCUUGUUUCGUUAGGACUGCUUUUGACAUUUGUAUUAUUGGUAAUGAAUUGGGAGUAUUUUUGAAACAAAUAAGGUAGGUGUUAAGUACAGAGUAUUUAAAAAGGAUCUCAUUUUUUCUUUUGAAUCAUAUUGUUUAGAGACAUUCAGUGUUAUAAAAUAAAAGGAAAUGAGAUUGAGGGAAAAAAACAACAUAGACUGUCAUACUAGGAUGUGGCCUUAUACCAGAAAAUUUGAGGACCCUUAGAACAUAGAAUAUGCCUUUUUCGAUAAAAUAGAGUGACUGCUAAAGAGUUUAGAAGGCAGUCAAGGGUUCGUUAUGACAGUAAUGGAAGUUAACCACAUAAAAGCCAAUAAUAUAGAUCAGGGUAGUCACUUGGAACAUCGAAUGGCUCAAUUUGAAGGAAAUUUAGACAACAGUGCCUUGAGCCCUAGAAUAUCAGAAGUUGAAGAGACCUUAGAUCCCAGAGAGUAGGAGAUGAUCUGAACCUGAGAAUACAAAUUGUGCAAAUCAGUGGGCCAUUAGGAAAAAAAAAAGUUGGACCUCAGAGAAAAUUUAGAGAAGAGAUUGUCAGAACUGGUAAGGUUCUUAAAUAGACUAUCAAAACCAGGAAGGAAAUUUGCUUUUUUAAAUUUAGAUGCUCAGUGGGGCAAGGUUUUUUGUUUUGUUUUGGUUUUUUUUGGCUGAGGCAAUUGGGGUUGUGACUUGCCUAGGGUCACACAGCUAGGAAGUGUUAAGUGUCUGAGGCCAGAUUUGAACUCAGGUCCUCCUGACUUCAGGGCUGGUGCUCUAACCACUGUGCCACCUAGCUGCCCCUGGGUAAGGUAUUUCGAUGAAAAAUAAAGAAAACAAUAAAUAGCAAAAAAUAUUUAGAGAAUUAAAUACAACAUAUAUUUCAAUGUUACUUUUACCCAGCACAAUAUUGAUACUGGAAACUAAGUCAAAUUUUGAACUCCACAAAGAGCUAAGUUGAAUAGACUGAGCCUAAUAGGGCUUAAAAACAAAACCAAAAAAGCAAAGUAAAAAAAAAAAGUUAAUAAAAAAGUAAUUUCAUACAGUGACUUGCUAGGGUAAAACUACUGUUGAUAUUACUAUUAUUGUUAAUGAAUGGGGACUAUUUAUUGUUUUAAAAAACCAAAUGCCAAACAAAACAAAGGUAAGUACAUAGAAUUCAAAAAGGCAUCAUUUUUCAUUUUAAAUUAUUAUUUUUGCUAAGAUAUAUGUAACAUAAUGUAACAAAACUGAAUAAACAAAAUUAAAAGGAAAAAAAUCCUAGAUUGUGAGAGGAGGGGGCAGCAUCAGAACAUAAAAUAUUCUUACAGUGUCUAGUCUUAAUGGUCCUUUCAAGAAAAUAUAUUGAAGGUGGGAUAGAUUUAGGAUAGAGAAUAUUAGCACAGAGAUAGCAGAUCCAGGCCUGAAUAUCAGAACUAGGAGUUGACACAGAAGCCAGAAUAGGAGACCUGAGAGGACACAUAGAAUAUAAACUAUAUGAAUGUGCAGGAAAUCUAGACUUUAGAAUCCCAGAGGUAAACGAAGUCCCCAAACCUGAAAUACCAGAGGUAGAAGGGACUUUAGAAAAUACAAUGGCAAUUGGACUGACCCUGAGAAUACACAGACAUUAUUAAACCUGAGACUAACCAUAGAGAAUGCGAGAGCCGGGAACGUACAUAGAACAAGGAACACCACAGUUAAUCAGCAUCAUACUGAUUCUCCAUAUUAAAAUGUACAUUUCCAAACCCAGCCAGUGAGGAAAGAUUAACAUAUAUUGUCCAAAAGAAAACAGUGAAAGAAAAAAAAAACUGACCAGAAAAUUUCAUGCAGUGUUUUGAAAGGUCAGGGCCACGGUAGCUACAACUGUUUUUAAUGAACAGGGAGUAUUUUUUGGAAGAAAAAAAAGUUAACUUAAAAGGAUACAAUUUUUCAAUUUUAAGUCAUUAUUCUGAGACCUAUGUAUAAUUCAGUAUAAUAAAGGGGGAAAAACAGAAGAGGGAGGGGUAUUUUGAAGAUAAAAUGACAAGGCUGAGAAGAUCUUUACAAAAUAAAAUUUUUAUCUUGGAAGUUGGCUAGAGCUAAGAAUAGAGACUUUCUGCCCUGGGAAGCCAAUUUGGGCUCUGACUGUUAAAACUGGAAAUUGACAUAGAAGCUAAAAUAUCAGCUACAUGAGCCCAUCUAGAAGAUAAAAUAUCUGAGCUUGGAGGCAAUUUAGAAAUCAAGAAUACCUAAGCUGCAUGAGACCAAGUGAGAGAAGAUCAGGACUUAAAAAUUGUUCAAUUUGGUGGGAUCUGAGAAUUUUGAAGGUCAGACCUGAGAGAAACCAUAGAAAAGAGAAUAUCCUAGCCCUCAGGGAAGAUUAAGCAAGGGAUGUCUGAGCCAGAAAACUGGAGAGUGUCAGAGAAGGGAUGCUGUUGAGAAUAUACAUAUUGCUGGGAAAUAGCUUGAUUUAUGUGCUCCUGGUAAGGGACAGAUAUAUUUUUUUAAAUUAUAUUUAGGGUGCAUGAGGCACCAAAUGUUUCACGAAGAUGCUCUGAAUUAGAAUUCAUAUACUGAGUCACAAAAUCAAAGUGGAAAGGUCACCAUAUAAUACCUAAUCUCACCCCUCCCCCCCAAAAAAUGAAAAAAGUAAUUUCAUACAGAUUCUUGAAUUGCAUAUUAUUGUUAAUGUUAGUGAAAGUACUGUAUUUAUUGAAAAAAUAAGGUAAGUACACACUAUUGAAAAGGGAAAGAAUUUUGAUUUUAAAGAAUUUUAUUGCUGACACAUAUAAUACAAUAAAUUGGAUAAAGGAGUAAAAAAAGAAAAAGACCCAAGAAUAUCUGAGGAGAGAGGAUUUUAAAAAAUAAAAUCAUAAAUCUGAAAGGGUUUAUAGAACACAACUUUUUACUUGCAUGUACAUUUCAAGAAUAUAUAUUGGAAGUUAGAGAGCUUAGAACAGAGAAUUUCACUGUGGGACAACAGUCUAGACUCCAAAUAUCAAAACAGGAAAGACAGAAUAUCAGACCUUGAUUAUCAUAAAAUGAAUGAACUUGAAGGUGAGUUAGCCUGAGCCAGAUUGAACCCUGAAAGCUGGAAUAGCUAACCUGGAAAGGACUUUAGAACAACAAAAUGUGAGAGUUGGUCAGAGCCAGAGACCAAAAAUUGAAAAACUCUAUGAGAUGUGAGUGCAAAGAAUUUAGGGCCUGGGAGAAGCCACAGAGAAGAAAGUGUCAGAGCUGGCAUAAAGAACAAGGGGUAUAUAUUUAGGAAAGCCCCUAGAUUAUAUAAUGUCAGGGCUAAUUUUGGCCAUAUCAGCCAUUCAGAUUUGAGACAGCUCUUAGAACAUAGAGUAUUAUACUUGAGGUGGUCCAGGGAACAUACGAUAUCAUCCCUGGCAAAGAGUUUGACUCAUGUGCUCAGGAUUCCAAACUAUGAGGAGGAAAACAUAAAUCUCAAAAACAAUCACUAAGAAUAUUUUUAGUAUAAGAUACAUAUAAUUUACAAAAGGACAAUGACAAUGCUCUGAAUUAAACUGUCCUUGAAUCAACCAAAUCGGUUAGUUAAAAAUAUAUUUGAUUUACUUUACUUAAAACAAAACAAACCUGUCAGACUAAUUCUUUGCCAAAAGAAAAUCUCAUUAAGACUAUAUUUCAUAUUGCUUUAAUUGGCAAUGAAUGAGAAAUUUUAUUGAAACAAAUUGUUUCAAUAAAAACUCCCUUUGAAAAAUGAGAUUUUAAACCAUUGUAUUGCUCAGACGUUUAAUUUGCUAUAAUAAAGCAAAAGAAAUUAAUGAAAUGAAAAGAAAAAACAGCCCUUAAAUGUCACAGGAAUGAGAUGUCUGAACUUAAAAUGACGGAACUGGGAGGUUUUAGAACAUAAAAUGUCUGAUAUAGAAGCAUAUUAAGAAACUAUUGGAGUAUGGAAAGAGCUAAAAUAUAGACUUUCAGACCUGGGAAAGAAGGUAGGACAUAGAAUGUUUGAAUUUGGAGGAAAACUUAAAAAUCAAGAAUGCCUAAUAUGAAUCCUCUGAAAGCCAGAAUAGUAAAAGUGGGAAAGAUCUUAGAACAUAGAAACUGUGAGAUGUUAAGAGUUUGAAAAGAGAAUUUGUCUGAUUCCAUGAAAUGCAAAGCUGGCAGAGAACUUAAAAGGAAGGGAUGAAAGAGUUAAGACUUUUGCGGGGAUCAAAUAAGAUGACAUUUGUAAAGCACUUUAGCAUAGUGCCUAGAACAUGGUAGCUGCUCUAUACAUUUUACAUUAAAUUAAUACUAGAAAAGCAUUUAGAACAUACCAAGACUCUUUAAAAAGUGUCACAGUUGACAGAGUUCUUAGACACAAAUUGACAGGGCUGAGAAGGUCCUGUGAACACAAAGUAUCAUUGCUGUUAAGGAGUCUUCUCAAUAUGAACGGAGGUCUAAGUCAUGGAGAAGGACAGGAAAAAUUUUAAAAUAAUAGAGCAUAUUUAUGGUAUGUAGUAUAAUAUACAUGUAUAUACAUACAUAUUUCAAUAUAAUUUAAUAUUAGUACAGUGGUGAUGCCCUGAAUUAAAAUUUGUGUCCUGCAACUCAGAGUUACAGGUACAAUGCCUUAAUUUUGCUCCAUUAAAAAAGGGGGAAAUAUUUGAAAACACAGUAAGUGUAUAAGUAUCUUCAAGGUUUACAGCUGCAGUGGAUAUCACUAUUACUGUUUUUCUUUUUUUCUUUCUUUCUUUCUUUCUUUUUUUUUUUUUUUUACUGAGGCAAUUGGGGUUAAAUGCCUUGCCCAGGGUCACAUAGCCAGGAAGUGUUAAGUGUCUGAGGCCAGAUUUGAAUUCGGGGCCUCCUGACUUCAGGGCUGGUGCUCUAACCACUGUGCCACCUAGCUGCCCCACUAUUACUGUUAAUGAUCACUAUUUAUUGAAAAAAUAAAAUUAAGUGCAGGCUCUGAAUGACAAAAUUGUAGUUGACAAGGAAACCAGAAUAUAAGUUCAGGAUAUGUAAAACAUAGAAUGUCAUUAAAUUAAUGAGUUUGGAGGAAAUUUAGAAUCAAGAAGGCCUGAAUUAAAUGGGACAGAAAGGAGUCUGUUCGUUUGUUUGUUUUUUGGCUGAGGCGAUUAGGGUUAAGUGACUUGCCUAGGGUCGCACAGCUAGAAAGUGUUAAGUGUCUGAGGUCAGAUUUGAACUCAUCUUCCUGACUUCAGGGCUGUGCUCUAACCACUUGUGCUACCUAGCUGUCCCCAGAAAGGUUUUUGACUAUAAAAUACUUAAGACGGGAGGGACUUUAGAAACUAUGGUAGCUGACUUGAAGGUACCUUCCAAAAGAGCACUGGAGGAUGGAUAGAGUCAGAAUAGAGAAUUCCAGGGCUGGCAUGGCAGGCCAGGCUCUAAAUAUCAGAAUUGGGAGUUCACAUAGAAGCCAUAAUAGAAGACUUGAGAAGUUAUGUCCAAUAUAGAAUGUCUCAGCAUGGAGACAGUUAGAAACAAUGAGGCCUCAAUUACAUGGGGCUCUCCAACCUAGAACAUCAAACUUAGGAGUGAUUUCAGAACUCAGAAAACAAGAGAUGAUCAGAGCUACGGAAGUGAAAUUAUCUGAUAUAGUGAGAUAUGAGCAUAUUGUAUGUCAGACUGGGAGAGACUGUCAGAGCUGGCCCAGGAGGUAGAAGAAAAGAUAUUGAAGGUCAAGGAGUUCCAAUAGCCUAAAAUCUCAGAAGUAGCUUUAGCCAUAAAACCUCCCAAUGUCAGGACUGGUAGCGCUCUUAGGACAUGGACUGUCAGAUCUCAGAUGGUCCUGAGGAAACAUACUAAGUUUUGUUGCUGUGCUCAGAGGUUCAAUGGGUAAAUAUUAAAAAUUAUGAAGUAUACUUAUAAUGUGAGCUAAAACAUAACAAUAUCAUUUAUGUCAGUACAAAGUUGAUCUUCUGAGUUAAAAUUUAUAUUCUACUUCACAGAAUCAAAGAGGAAGGGUAAGCAUACUGUGCCAAACCUGGUUCCAGUUUUUUUUUUUUUUUAAGACAAAAAUAGUUGCAUGGAGUAUCUUAAAGAAUUAAGGCUACUUUAGAUAGCAUUAUUGUUAAUGAAUGAUCAUUAUUGAAAAAAUAAAAAAAUUCAAAAGAAAUUGUGCUUUCAAAUAAUUGUAUUGCUAAUAUAUGUGUCUAUAGAUAUAGUUUAUGUGUGUGUGUGAGAGAGAGAGAGAGACAUUUAAUGUAGUAAAAUUGAAUGAAUAAGUGAAAAGGAAAACAGUCCCAGAAAAGAGAUAGGAGACAACUUUAACGAUAAAAUGACAGGUUUGUAGUGAUUCUUAGAGAAUGAUGUCUGACUUGGAGAUGUCAUAGGAUAAUAUUUUUAAAACUGGAUGGAUCCUAGAAUAGUGUAUCAGUGCUAAGUUGAGAAUCCAGGCUUGAAGAUCAUAAAUGAAUUGACAUAGAAACCAGAAUAUGAAAUUUGAGAGGUUGUAUCUAACAUCCGAUCUUGAAGGCAGUUUAGAAUCAAUGGGACAGGAGCUAGAUGGGAUAUUUUGAAUUAGAAUUUCAAAUUUGGAAGUGGUUUAAGAAGAAAGAAAAUGAGAGAGGCUCAGAGGCAGAGAAGUGAAAUUGCUUAAUUCAGUAGAAUCUAAGCAUGUAGAACAUAAACCUUGGGAGAAUCAGUGAAGAAAAGAAUUGUCAGAAUUGGGAAGACCGCUAGAACAAGUGAUAGAGCAUAGCAUGUCAGGACUAGUAAUGGCCUUAAAAACUUAGUGUCAGAACUGAGGAAACUUAGAACAGAUGUUCUUGAGCUCAUGAUCCUGAUACAAAACCAUUUCAGGGAAGGUGUUUCUUUGCUCGGAGUUCUAACUUAAAUGAGGAUGGUCAGGUAAAAAAAUUAGGUAUAGUUAGUGUAAGAGAUGUAUUAUAUAUUUCAGUACAAGUUAUAUCAACAUAAUGGAGUUUCAAGACUGAAGUGCCAGUCCAAGCUCUGAAUAUCAUAAUUGGAAGUUUACUUAAAGACAAAAUAUGUGAUUAGAGAGUAUGUUCAACACAGAACAUCUGAGCUGGAAGGAAUUUUAAAUCAAUGGUGCCCUCCAACCUAGAAUAUCAAACUCGGGAAAAACUUUAGGACACACGAAGUAAAAGAUGAUCAGUCAGAGAACAGAAAUCAUCUCCAUGAGAUGUGAGCAUAGAAUAUACCAAGCCCGAGAGAAGCGAUAAAUAAGAAAAGGUCAGCUGGGAAGGCAUGUAGGAUAAGUGAUAGCCUCCAGCAAAGUGUGUAGAACAUAGAAUUUCAGAACAAGCUUGCACGAUAACAUCAUGCAGUGCCAGAGUUGGAAAAGUUCUUAAAACAGAUUAGCAAAGUUCAGAUGGUCCUGAGAACAAACAAGAUCAUUGCUGGGAACAAGUUAUAUUUCUCUGCUCAGAGUUACAACUUAUGAAUGAUAGGUCAUCUUAAUUAACGGUGAUAAAGUGUAUAAUUUAUAUAAGCAUAGUUGUGAGCCUGUAAAUUAAUUCUCAUGGGUCCUGCAUCAUACAGUUUAGAAAGGCGAGGUGAACAUAUUAAUCUAGUUCCAACAAAAAGAAAUGAAAAGAAAAAAGUAACAGUAAUCACAUGAGGUUCUUGAAGUGUUAAACACUGUAGAUACCACUUAUUUUUUAAUGAAUGGUUACUAUUGAAAAAAAAUCAAGUACACAAAAUUCAAAAGACAAUUUGUGCUCUCAAAUAAUUACAACCCUAGAAUAUCAAGAGAGAGGGGAUUUUUGGCAUAAAAUGAAAGGACAGGGACAAUCUUUAGAAAACAGAAUGUCUGAUUUUCAAGAGAAUAAAUAUAUUGGAGGUUGAGUAGAACUUAGAAUUUCAGGGCUUGGAUAACAGACUGGGCUCUGGGUAUCAGAAUAGAGAGUAGACUUAAAAGGUAGCAUAUCAGAACUAGGAGAUAAUGUGUCAUAUAAAAGGAAUGGUUUUGGAAACAAUUUAGAAUCAAGAAUGCCUGAGCUGGAUGGGGACAGGGACUAUUGGACUAUCUAAUAGGUGAAGGACUCUACAGAAAAGAACUUUAUGGAUUGUGAGUAAACAGAAUGGCAGACUGGGAGAAAUCAGAUAAUGACAAAGAUGGCAAGGCAGGUAGAAAAAGUGAUAGAACCAGGAAAGACUGUAGAACCUUCAGCAACAUCUCUAGAAAGGGCCUUAAAACCUCAGUAUAUCAGGGCAAGGAGAACUCAUAGAAUAUAGCAGAGCCCAGAUGGUCCCAAGAGCUUUCAGUCAUUUUUUUGCUCUGGAGGAGUUUUAUUUUUGUGUUCAGAGUUCCUAUUUAUGAGAAAGGAUUGUUAAAUUAUUCAUUUAGAUAAUGUGCAGCAUAUCUUAAUGUAAUUUAUAUCGGCACCAUACUGAUACUGUGAUUUUAAAGUCUAGUCAGUGAGAAAUGGUUAAACAUAUUACCUUCUAUGGCUGAAAAUCUGAAAAAAUAAAAAUACCCAGAGAGAAGAGAAAGAUGGAGCUAACAGAGAACAUAGAGAAAGGGCUAGACGAACCAGAAAAGCUUUAGCACCCACAAUUUCAAGACUAGCUUGGGCCUUCAAACCCUGCCAUGACAGAGCUGGGAAAGCUCUUGGAAUAGAAAUUAACAGCUCAGAUGGUCCUGAAAUUAUGCAAGAAUCUUUGCCAGGAACUAACUUUGUUUCUGCCCUCAGAAUUAUAACUUCUGGGCAAUAACAGAUAAAUUUAAACAACAAUAAAAGGAAGUAUAUUUUGGCCAUGAGAUGCAACAUGCAACACAUAUUUCAGUAUAAUUUAUUUGUAUAAUAAUGACUCAGAAUUAAUUCUCAUGUUCUGCCUCACACAGAGAAGAAAAGUGAACAUGCAAGUAUCUGAUCUGAUUCCAAAAGAAAAAAAAAAGUUAAGGAAACAGUAAUUAUCUGCACUGAUUUUUAGUGUUAAAGGCUGUGUAGAGAUCACUGUUAUUGUUAAUGAAUACUCAGUAUGUAUUGAAAGAAUAAAGAACACAUUAUUCAAAGGAAAAACAAUUUAUGCUCUUAAAUAACUUGAAUUUAAAAUAACUAAACCGAAGAAAUCAAUGAAGUGAUAGAGCUCUGAGGAGCUUUAGAAACUGCAAUGUAUGACUUGGGGCUAUCUUCCAAGGUAACAUUUUGGGGGAUGGAUAGAGCUUAAAGUGAAGAAUAUUAGUUAGGAUGGCAGUCCAAAUUGCAUAUCAGAACAGGGAGGUGGGAUAUGAGACUUGAAAAGGCAUGUCUAAUAUAAAAUGGCAAUUUAGAAUCAGUGGGGCAAGAGCUAGCUAGGGCCCUUCAACCUAGAAUAUCAAACUUGGGGAGAGGGAUUUUAAAUCACAGAAAGUAAGAUUAUUAUAAACAGAGUGCAGAGAUUGUUUGAUUCCAUGGUGUCUGAGCACAGAAUAUGUCAGAUCUGGGAGAAGCCAUAGAGAAGAGAACUUCAGAGCAGGCAAGCCGAAGUGGUGAAAGCUAAUUAAAGUCUGUAGAAGUUACUAUCUCAGUAUUAUUUGUGGCCAUAAAUGGUAUCAAAGCUAGGUGGAUUUUAGAACAUGGAUUAUCAAUGCUCAGAUGGUCCUUGUUAGUAGUAGCAAGUUUUGUUUCUAUGUUCAGAGUUUCGACUAUAAGGAAUAACCAGAAAUGUAAACGGCAAUGAUAUUACAUAUUUAGUGUUUAAUAUAUAAUUCAGUAUAAUUUAUGGCAGCACAAUGUUGAUCCUCUGAAUUAAAACUUAAGUACUGCUGAGAAAAGUGAUAAUAUCAUGCUUAAUUAGGUUCCACCCACCCCUCCAAAAAAAGAAAAGGGAAAGUAACUAAAAACAGUAGUUAUAUGCAUUGUCUUGGAAAGGUUAAAACUAUUUUAAAUAUCACUAUUACUAAUAAAUAAAUAUUUGUCUGAAAAAUACAGAGACUUAAAAUGAGAAAGAUUGUGCUAAGUAAUUUCAUUGCUGGCACAUGCAGUUUUAAUAUAGUAAAAAUUAAAUAAAUAAAUGAAAUCAAAAAAGUAAUGCUAGAAUAUCAGAGUCAGGAAGCAACUUUAGUUAUAAAAUGACAGGAUUAGAAAUGCCUUUAGAAAAUAAAAUGUCUGACAUAGAGGUACCUUUUAAGGAAAUGUAUUGGAAAUUAGAGCGUAGAAGAGAGAAUUCCAGUAUUGGGAUGGCAAUCCAGGCUCUAUGUAUGAAAAGUAGCAGUUGAUAUAAAAACUAAACUAUCAAACUUGGGAGGGAGAAAAUUUAGAAUCAAAAGUGCUUAAACCUGAAAUAUCAAAGGUAAGCUUAGAACAAUAGUAAAAAAUAGUCAUGGGAAGAGAAUAGAAAUUGUGAGAUUCCUUGGGAAGUAAGCAUGUCAAGUCUGGAAGAAACUAGAAAAGAAUGUCCAGGUAUAGUGGAUAGAACAAGUGCUGUUAGAGCCAGGGAAGCUCAUAGAACAUACAAGUUUUAAACUAAUAGUUGAAAAACCACAGGGUCCAAGCUAGGAGUGCUACUAGAACACAGAUUCUCCGAACUUGGAUUAUAGGUCCCACAGUAUCAUUGCUGGGAAUAGGUGUUGUUUCUGGGUUCAGUUUCUACUUACGAGGAAAUACAGAUAAAAGUAAAGAAUAAAAAAUUACAGUGUAUGAGGUGCACUAUAUAAUACAGCAUAAUUACAUUAGCAUAAUUAAAAUAAAACAUCUCAUAUCACACAGUUGUAGAAGAAAUUUGCAUAUACAGAGCCUGAUCAAAAUUAUAAGUAAACUGAUGACAAGAAAAAAAUAACUGAUAAAAAGUGAAUUAUGCAGAGUUUUCAAGGGGUAAAGCUGCAGUUCAUAUUACUAUUAUUGUUCAUGAAUGGGCUAUGUUCAUUGGAAAGAAUAAGGUAAGUUUGCAGGAUUCAUAAGGAAAAUAAUUUGUGAUCUUAAAUAUUUGUAUUGUAAUAAACAUGCCAUUGGACAUAAAAAUAAAUGAGGGAAAAAUGCUCUAGUAUAUCAGAGAAACAAAAUAGCUAGGAUGGGAGAAAUUUUAGUGAAUACAAUGUGUGAUUUAGAGGUGCCUUUUAAGGUCAUAUAUUGAAGUGUGGUUAGAAAUUAGAAUGGAGAAUUUCAGGGCUGGGAUGGCAGGCCGGAGAUGACAUGGUAGCCAGAAUACGAGACUUGAGAAGGUGUGUCCGAUAGAGAAUGUCCAAACUUAGACAAUUUAGGCUGCUUAGAAUCAGUAGGGCUUGAGGUUGAUUCCAUUCCAUACAGAAAUAAUAAUAAUAAGUACCUACUAUGUACCAAGCACUCUGUUUAGCAUUAGGGAUACAAAUAAGAAAAAAGAAAAUUAGCUUCCAACCUGGAGAUAAUGGAAGCUGGAAGAUGACAGAACCUAGGGGAAGGCCAGAGGACUACAAGGGGAACAGGCAACAGGAAGAGGCAGGGAAACCUUAUUCCCUGGAGUUGAUACUAAGUAGAACUAAGGUUUGCAAUGUAGAGUGAAUUAUAAUGUCCAGGUCUAGGCUUUUUUAAAGAGUAACUUUGGAUGGGGUUUAGUACUCUACCCUCCAGUCCUCAAGUCAGAAGGGAGGUGAAGAAAAUGGGAAGUGGUCAAGAAAACCGUGAUUGAUUGUUUUUUUUCUUAUGAGGCAAUUGGGGUUAAGUGACUUGCCCCCAGGUCACAUGGCUAGGAAGUGUCUGAGACCAGAUUUGAACUCAAGUCCUCCUGACUUCAGUGCUGGUACUUUAUCCACUGCACCACCUAGCUGCCCCAAGUGAUUUGAUUUUUAUGGGAUGUAAACCUAUAGGAUGGAGGGCCUGGGAGAAGAUAGAACAGAAUGACGGAGUAGGCAGGGCACUUAGGGGAUAUGAACCAGGAAAACCCUGAAAAUUAUAAUUUUAGGAUUAACUUUGGCCAUAACAUCACAGAGUGUCAGAGCUGAGAAAGCCCUUAUAAUGUAGGUUAUAAGAGCUUGGAUGGAUCUGAAGAAUACAUAAUAACAUUGCUGGGAAGGAGUCCUGUUUCUCUGCUCAGAGUUUCAAUUUGGGAGGAGUAGUGACUAAAUUUAUAAAUCUAUCUAUAUAUAUAUAUAUAUACAUAUAUAUAUAUAUAUAUGGCAUGUGAAGGAUGUUUUCAUGCAGUUUGUUUUAUCAAUACAAUGCUAAUGCUCUGAUUUUAAAAGUCAGGUCCUGAGAUACAGCCAAUGAGGAAAGGUAAAAGUAUAUUACCUUAGCUGUGUGAUAAUAAGGAAAAAAAAUAGGCUGAGGGUCAUAAAGUUCCAUGCACUUCCUUACUCUGUUAAGAUUAUUAUUGAAAUUUCUACUACUUGUAAUGAAUGGGGAGUGUUUUAAACAAAAUUGUAAGUAUCCAAUUUUAAUAUGGAUACCAUUUGUGAUAUUGCUGACACUAUAUAUAAUUUAAUAAAAUUGAAUGAGUGAAAAGGGAAAAAAACAAACAUUAAUGGAGUGAUAGGAUUUUAAUUUUUUUAAAAAUAGUCAGCUGUUACGCUCUUUAGAAGAUAUAUUUUACUUGGCGAUACAUUUCAAGAGAAUAUAGAGCCUGGAUAGAACUUAGAAUGGAGGAUUUUUGGAUAGCUAUAGCAGUCUAAACUUAGGAUAUUGGAAAAGUUUUCAAAUAGAAACCAGAAUAUCUGACUUCAGAAGGGAUAGAAAGAACAAAUCAUUUCAACACGUGAGGUACCUUAAAAAACAGAAUGUGGGAGACGUUCUGUGCCUGAGAACAGAAACUGUCUGAUUGAGUCGUGAGCAUGCAGAAUGCAGACCUGGCAGUAGCCAGAGAAAAAAGAAGGGUAGAGCUGGCAAAGAGCUUAGAGGAAGGGCUAGAACAGCCAGGAAAAACCUUAGCACAUACAAGUUCAAAACUAGUUGAUAUCAAACCACACAAUGUCAGAGUUGGGAGGACUCUUACAACAAAUGAGAGCAAUCAGAUGGGCCUGAGAAUACAUAAUAACAUUGCUGAGGCGUUUUGUUUUUGAGCUCAGUUGCAAAGUUAUGGUGAUAGAUGAGUAAUUUUGGAUGAUAUAUAAAGUUUCUUUAGGUUUUGAGAAGCAAGAGUAUUUUGGCAUAAUGGUGAUUCUUGUGGCUAAAACAUGUUUUAUAUCAGUCAUAUGGUGCCUAGUCUAAUUAAAACAAAAAAGAAAGAAAAGAAGGAAAAAACCCGAAAAUUAUGAUUGCACAGUAUCUUAUUGCUGUAGAUAUCACUAUUGUUAAUGAAUACUGUUGAAAAAUAAAGAACACAGAAUUCAAAAGAAAAAUCUAUGCUCUCAAAUGAGAGCAUAUACGUACAUGCAUGUAAUUUGAUACACAUUAUGUACAUAUUUCUAAUUUUAUUUUCCAAAACUGAAGAAAUAAGUAGAAAAAAAAAAACCUUGGAAUCAGAGGAAGUAGGAGACUUUGACUAUAACAUGCCCCAGCUGAGAGAGAACAUCAAUAAUAGUGUCUGACUUGGAGGUACUUUUCAAGAGAAUAUGUUGGAGAUUGGAGAGAGCUCAGAAUAGAAACUUCCAAUGCUGAGACAGCAGUCCUGGCUCUUAGUGUGAAAAGUAAUAGUCAACAUAAAAGCUAGAAUAUCAGACUUGGGAGAGAGUAUAGAACAGAAAUAAAUGAGUUUGGAAGCAAUUCAGAACCAAGAAAGCCUGAGCUGAAUGGAAUUCUGGAAUGACAACAGUGGGAGAGGAUUUAGAACACAGAAAAGGAGAGAACAGAAAUUGUUUGAUUUUGUGUGAUAUGUGAGUCUGGGAAAAGCCAGAGAAAAGAGGCAAGACGUUUAGAAGAAAGGAUAUCAAAACCAGGAAAGUCCUUAUACAAUUUCAAAACUAGUUUGGGCCACACCAUCAGUAUCAGAGCUGAGAGGGCUCCUAGAACAAUGAUGAUGAGAGUUCAAGAACACAUAUCAUGUGCUCAGGGAUUUAUGGGCAAAACAAGUUAAGUUUUAAAAAUUUAUAUAUAGGAUAAAAUACAUCUAUGUGGCAGUAGACUAUCAAUAAGCACAGUGGUGAUCCUUUGAAUUAAAACUCAUGUUCUGAAUCCUACAACCAAAGUGGGCAAAGUGCCUAAUCUGGAUUAACAGAAAAAUGUUGAAAAGUGGGAGGGAAAAUGACAAAAAGUAAGAACAUGGGUUUUUUCCAAGGAUUUCCAUUGUUCCUUAGUGGGGCCUAUUUAGUAGAAAAACUUGGUGAGUAUACAGGAUUUACAGGGAAACAUUUUAUAUUUUUAAAUAAUUGCAUUGCAUAUAUAUGUCAUUCAAUUUAUUAACACACAAAAAAAGUGAAAAGCAAAAACAUUCCCUCAAAUAACACUGGAGUGAGGAAACUUUGACCAUAAAAUGACAGAGCUUGCAAAUAGAUGAGUGCAUAGAUUGCUGACUUGGAGAUGUAUCUCAAGAUAAUAUAUUGGAGAUUGGAGAGCUUAGAAUGGAAGAUUUCUAUACUGGGAUGCCAGUCCAGGCUCAAAAUGUUAGAAAUUGGUUUUUAUUUAAAAAAAAGUAGACUCUCAGUCAUGAGAAAUAUAAGAAUAUUUAAAAUGUAAAAUAUAGAAUGUCUGAACUUGGAUACAAUGUAAGGUCCCUGGGACCCGCAAUAUCAAAGGUGUGGGACUUUAUAACAUGGAAGUUAGAAGAUGUUCCAUGCCUACAAACGAGAAUUGUCAGAGUGAGAUAUUUAUAUGUAGAAGGUAUGCCUAGGAGAAGCUAGAGAAAAGAAAAGGGUAGAACCUGACAGAAAGGUUAAGAUCUAGGAGAACCAAGAAAAGCCUUAGCACAUACACAUUUAGGACUAGCCUAGGCCAUCAAACCACACAGUAUAGAGCUGAGAGGCCUCCUAGAAUACUUUCAGAACUCUGAUGAUCCUGAGAAUACCUUCUCUUGUUUCUCUGCUAAGGGGAUGAAGCAUUAAGUUAAAAAAAAAUUCCAAGUAUAUUUAUGGUAUGAAAUACAACAUAUGUAUCCAUAUACCUAUAUGCACAGUGGUGAUCUAUAAAUAAAAACUCAUCCUGAGUACACAGGCAAAGUAGAACUUUAAAUAUACCAUGCUUAAUCCAGAUGUAAAGGGGAAAAUGGAAAAAAAUAGAACUGACCAAAAACGUAAUUGCAGUGUUUUCAAGUAGUAAGGCUGUUAUUACAUAAUACUAUUAUUGUUCAUGAAUGGAUCAUUAUUUGUUUAUUAAAAGAUUAUAAGGAUACAAGAAUCAGAAAAGAUAUAGUUUAUGAUCUAAGCAUUAACAUACUAAAUGCCAGAUGUUUAUUAGGAAUACAAUACUGAUUAAGUGAAAAGAAAAAAAAAUACUCUAGAAUCCAGAGGAGGGAGGUGCUGUGCAGACCAUAAAAUAACUAGGCUGGGAAACUGUUUAGAAAAUAAAAUGUCUGACUUGGAGAUGCCUUUUGAAAGAAUGUAUUCAAAAUUAGAGCUUAGAAUGGAGAAUGUUGAGGUUAGAAUGGCAGUCCAGGAUCUGAGUAUCAGAACUGGACAUUGACAUAGAAUAUGUCACAAUGUGAGGCUUGAAAAGGUAUGCCCAAUGUAGAAUGUUUGAGUAUGGUGAUAACUUACUGGCUGAAACUGGAUGAAACUUUCUCACUGGGAUCGCCAAACUUGGGCAAGACAUUAGAAUACAGAAAAUGAGGGAUGUUCAGAGCUUGAUAAUAGAAAAGUCUUAUUCUGAGAGAUGUGAGCGCAUAUGAUGGCAGGCCUGGCAGAUGCCAGACAGAAGAGAAUGACAGGGCACUGCGAAGAAGGAAUAUCAGAAGUAGAAACUUUAAAAUUUAGUAAUUUCAGGGCUAGCUGUGAUUAUAAAACUGCAAUGGAGUCUAGUUUCUGCUCAGAGGUCCAAUAUUAUAGAUUUAAAUUUUUAAAAAUAUAUAAGAGGUAUUUAGAGUAUGACAUAUAAUAUAUGCUUCAAUAUAAUUCCUAUUAGUACCAUGCUGAUGUUUUGAUUAAAAAGUCAGAUCCCAAAACAUAGUCACUGAGGAAAACUAAAAUACCCCAGCAGGAUGAAAAAUCUGAAGAAAACAAAAUAUAUGUGUGUGAGAGAGACUGCUGUUAAUAUUUCUGUUAUUGAUAAUGAAUGAGGAGUAGUUUCUUUUUUAAUAAGGAUUUAAGUACACAAUUUUAAUAGGGAUAUCAUUUGCAAUUUAAAAUAAUUAUACUGACAUACAUAAUUUAAUAAAACAAUAGAUAAUUGAAAAGGAAAAAAAUUAAAAGCCCUUGAAUAUUACCAAAAUGAGAAGCCUUUGAAUUUAAAAUAACAUAGCUAAUAAAUGUUUUAGAGAACAAAAUGUAAAUUUUGAGAUCCAUUGCAAGAGAAUAUGCUAGUGGCUGCAGAAUGGUCUAAGCUUAACUUCAUAAAAGUGCGUCUUCAAAAAGAAGCCAGAAUUACAGUGAGGAAGGCAUGUAGAACAAAUAAUAUUGAAGGAGUGAAGGACCUUAAAACCCAAAAUGUAGGAGAUGGUAAGAGAGUGCAAUCUAGUUGUGAGAUGUGAGCCCACAAAAUGUUGGACCUGGGAAGAACCAUGGAGAAGGGAAUGUUAGAACUUUGAGCAAGAGCUGGAAAAUUCAGAAAAGGCCUUAGGACACACUCUUUCAGGACUAGUUUGGGCCAUCCAAACAUACAGUGUCAGAGCUGGGAGGGCUCGUGGAACAAGAAUUAUAAGAGUUGUGAUGAUCCUAGAGAACUCAUAAAAGUAUUGCUAGAGAAAAGUUUUAUUUCUGUGCUCAGAAUUGCAACUUACAGGGAAAGAUAGGAUUUGUAAACAAUAGUAACUAAGGAUAUUUAGAGUUUGACACGAAACUUAUAUUUUAUUAUAACUGAUAUUAACACAAUUGAAAGCCUCUGAAUUAAUUUUCAAGUCCUGUUAUCACAUAGUCAAUAUUAGAGAGUAAAUCUAUUAAUUUGGUUCUCAUAAAAAAAUAGAACUUGAUGCCAAUUUUUAAAAAAGAAAGGAAAAGAAAAAAUAGACUGCACAAUAAUUGCAUUUAGUAUAUGGAAGGGUUUAAGGCUGCUAAAUAUAUCACUACUGUUGUUAAUGAAUGGUCAGUAUUUGCUGAAAAAAUAAAUACACAGAAUUUGAAAGAGAAACAUUUUCUAUUUUCAAAUGAUUAUAUUGCUUAUAUACACUAUGUGUACAUAUACAUUUAUAUACAUAUGUAUGUAGUUUAAUAAAAUUGAAGAAAUAAGUGAAAAGUUUAUAUAUCCUUAAGAAUAUCAGAAGAGGAAGGGGACUUUGACUAUAAAAUUACAUGGAUGAAAGCAUCCUUCCAUAGUAGUGUCUGAUUUGGAGGUGCCUUUCAAGAGAAUAUAUUGCAAGUUGGAUAGCAAUUUCCAGUGCUGGGAAAGUAAACCCUUGCUCUAAGUAUAAAAAGAAGGAAUUGAGGGGCAGCUAAGUGGCGCAGUGGGUAGAGCACCAGCUCUGAAGUCAGGAGGAUCUGAGUUCAAAUCCUAUCUCAGACACUUAAACACUUCCUAGCUGUGUGACUCUGGGCAAGUCAUUUAACCUCAGUUGCCUCAGCCAAAAAAAAAAAGAAGAAGAAGGAAUUGACAUGAAAGCCAAAAUACCAGAUCUAGAUUAUAUAGAACAUAGAAUUGUUGAGGGGGGAAAUACCUUAACAGCAACUGGGGUUCCCAGGCUGGUAUCGCAGGUUAUUGCAGGUUUUGCGAAAAAAAUUGCAGUCCCAGUCUCCAAGCAAGAUUUGGCAAAAAUGGGUUUAUUUUCACUGAGCUCUUUCUCUCAGUGGGCCCCUUUCUGAUUAGGAAAAUAGCAAAGAUUGGGUUACAGAGUUUUGAUUUUAUUUAGCUUUCUAUGGCUCGGGGCUAGGGAACAAUUUGAGGGACUAAUUUCCAAAUCAAUAAGGGUAGUGAUCGUUUCCUAGGCCAAACAGAUUCCCAGAUCAAUUGGAGGUGGGAGUUUCCCCGUGGGAACCAUGUAGGAGGAUGGGAAUCAUUUUAGGAAUUUUCCUAGAGACCUGGAAGGGUUGAGAUUCAGGGUUUUUCUAACCCAGGUCCAUCCCGCAAAGAUCAGGGACACACAGAGUCCUAUUAUGUCAGAAUGACCUUGGAAACAA